rnacentral:lncRNA from 1 species
ACCAUAAGAACUCAUAGAAGUAUAGCUAGAACAAGUUCUGCACCUUUUCUAGCUGAAAAUCCUAUGUUUUGAAGUUUGAAUUCAUCUCUAAUCAAGGCUUCUAGCACACCCUAUAUGAGACUGAUCUUUUCACUUCAUACACCACAUUGAACUUGAGGUAAGUUGAAGCUUUCAUUUGCUCAUCAUAAGAACCUAAUUAUGUAUGCUUUAAUGUGACUUUUGCUACGUGUUCUCCAUGAUGUUUGAAUGAUUGAUGAGUCAUAGUGAUAUGAAAGAAUAUGUUUUGAAAAUUGGAGUAUGGUACUUGAUUGAUGGUCGAGUAGGCAAGGGACGCGAGAGGGACCGGCGGACCCAACACAUGGUGGCAAAUACCUGAGGUCGAAAGACCAGUAUGGAAAACCCACAAUUAAAGAAAUGAAAUACGGCUAAUACCUGAGGUCGAAAGGCCGGUAUGGAAACCCCGUAUUAUCUAUUGGCCAAAUAUGAUAAACAGGUUCCAAAAACCACAGUCUAUUGCUAUCAGUCAAGUACCACACUUCAAGGGUACCCGAAAAAGAGAAGGAUUUCAAAGGAAAGGAUCAUGAAUGAAGUUAUAUGUGAUAUUGUACAUAUUGAAUGAAUAACGUGUUAUGUGAUAUAUUGCUAUUAUAUCAGUUUCGACUUGUUGAGCCAUUAGCUCAUUAGGUUCUUAUGAUGCAUGUAAUGAUGUACAUGUGUAGAAGUUGACCUAGCCAAGAGCGGCCAGACAGAGAUUUGUUCAUAUGCCAUGCUUCGAGCCAUUUUUUGUAGCCGAGCUAGAAACUCUGAUUUCAUUUUGUUAGCCGCUCUAUUAUGGUUUUUGUACAAUGUAAUUUUGUAAACCAUGAAAAUAUAUAUAUAUAUAUAUAUAUAUAUAUAUAUAUAUAUAUAUAUAUAUAUAUAUAUAUAUAUAUAUAUAUAUAUAUAUAUAUAUAUAUAUAUAUAUAUAUAUAUAUAUAUAUAUAUAUAUAUAUAUAUAUAUAUAUAUCAUCCCUAACUUAAUGGUGGCGAUCCGAUUGGAUUCUGAAAUAGAAAAUAUGAGUAGGGAUUUAAAUUCUUGAUCCUUAGUUAAUAUAAGAAUUAAAAUUAUAUUGAGCUAAUAAGGUAAGUUGAAUUUAACUAGAAUUAACUAUAGUUAUGGUCAUGAAUGAUUCAUUUAAGUCAUUAUAUGUUGCUAAAUUUCGAUUUAUUUGGUAUAUUGGUUUGAGAUUCAUUACGUGAGUGCCGUACGUGUCUAAGUAUUGAAGAUUGUUGAGAUUACUUUUGGAUUUAUUGGUUAAUUACACUCGUUAAUGCUAUAUAGUAUAUCCUAUAUUUCGUACUUUAUAUAUAUGUUAAAUAAAUGAAUAUAUAUUUAUAUAUCCUAGCGUGCGUGAUUGUAGGAAUAAUUCCCGAUCCAUGGCUUAUAUAUGUGUGCUAUGCUAUAUUAUAUCUCUAUAGCAACCUACGUGGUCAUCGAGAAAAACUCUGACCCAUGGUUUAUGUAAAUAUAAAAUAUACUAUUAUAAAUAUAUGUGGGGGUGUGUACAGCUAUAUGUGUAUGUGUGUGGAUGAACAAUAAUCUUUACGUGAUUUGUGUUUAUUGUGCUACGCUUGAUUGGAUAUCAUUUCCGUGUGUGUGUGUGUACAGCCGUGUAUGUAUUUGUGUCAUAUAUGUGAUUUAAUUAGUCUAUGUGACAAUAUGCGGUUAGUAAAUCUUUGUGUUGUUUUAUUGUGACAUAUUUGUGUGUUAUUUGUAGUGUUUAAACGGUAAUAAGAUUAUGGUCUAAGUGUUCAUGUCCAUGCAUGUUUUGAAAAUUGGAAGAUAUAAUGGAAUACUCGGUAAUAAACAACUCGGAUAUAGAGGGCCGGUAUCCAACUAGGAUGAAAUGUGUGGGUAACUCCCAUUAGUGAAAACGGGCUCGUAACAAGUUGAUUAUCUGAGUACAUGAAUUAAUCUUUCACGGAUCCGAUAAAAUGAAAAAUGGAUUUUUAACACGCAUUGCAUUCACGUGCAUUUUGGUCAUUGUGCAUAUUAAAGUGAUUUAUGUAGAAAUGAUGUGCUUUUGUGACUGUUGUGUUGUUGUCGUAUAUUACCUGAUGGUUAGAUGUCACGUUGGGGUUCUAAUAAGGAUCCGGUUGCAUUGCAUUUAUAUGCUUAAAUUGAUACUAAAGGGACUUUAUGUCCAACUUUAUGUCCGUGAGCAGGAUAAGGAUUUUAUAUCCGUAUAAUACGAAAGAGGACUGUGUGUCCAAUAUACCAAGAUUGAGGUAAACAAUAUUAUAUGUUUAUAUGUAGAGCUAUAUGUUCGACUAUGUGUUAUGAUAAUGUUCAUGCUUCGUGGUUCUUUGUAAUCGUAUGUGAUGUUAUGUGCUUUCACGUAUGUGAUUGAAUGUCUUGGUCUAAACAAAUAAAUUGAAUAUAGAGGACAUAGUAGAAACUUUAGGCUUAUCCCUUCACGCAAGAACAUAGAGACGAAGACUUUAGGACUCUUAUAGGACGUGAGUGGCACGUUGAGAGAGGCGUGAGUAUCGUCAGGCCAAAGUUCUUACUGAGCCAGUGGUUGGGCUCACGCUUUAUGCGAAUUUCCCCCUUUUAGGUUCUCGAAGUAAUCAGAGUGCGCAGCGGAGCGGAGUUCGAGGAAUCACGAACCUUGAUGCUUUGCACCUCUUACCCGAAUUUCGUAAAAGAUCAUGUUUUCACUUUCGCCUGUAAAAAGGUCUUAUGAAAAAAUGGAGAUUUUCAUGAUUAUAUUUUACUCUGAUUUAGGAAUCUAGUCUGUUAAACGGGGUAAAUUAAGUUUAUUUUCCUUCCGCUGUCUUACAAGUGUUUUCUAAAUCCCCGAUGAUGUUUAGGUAGCACUCUUUAUGAAAACCGUAACUUUGAUUUGUGGGUUAUAUUUAAAGUAAAGGGAAAUACUUUUAUAAAUUCUAAAUUGGUUUUCUCAAAGUUCAAAUUGAAUCCGAAUUUUUAAUAAAGUCCACUAAAAUAUUUCUUCUUUAAAUAAAAUUCAUGGAGGGUGUUACAAGGUGGUAUCAGAGCAGUAUUUAAUACAUUGGAUUCCUAUUUAUGGUUCAAGGCACUCGUGGUUUCUCCUCCAGCUCCCGGCAUUAGUAAUGUGGUAAGAUCUAUUUUUACUUCGAAAUUUAUUAUCUAAGAUUCGAAUUAGAGAAAUUAGAAUUUUAUCUAGGCUUGCCACUAUACUCAUUGCUAUUAUCUUGAGUUGAUCUUAUUAAGAUUUAUAAUUUUCAUAUGUUUAUAAUAUUUUUUUUCUUUAUUGGACUAUAAAUAUAUUGCAAUUAUCGAAAAAGUAAAUUAGUUUUAUCUAAACGAUAAAAACACCAACAUAUGACAUUAUUAUUAUAAAUAAUAGUUUUCAUUACUAGGCCCAAAGUAUAAGAAAUAAAUAAAAAUGAAAUUAACUGAAUCUUGAUUAUAUUUUGAAUCAAUAUAUCAAAAAGAAAAUGAAAUUACAUUAUAUCUUGUAAUAAAUUAUUUUAUUAAAAAAAUGGUAAGUGAAAUUACAUUCUAUUUUGUAAUAAAAUAUUUUUAUUCUUCAUUUGGCUAGAAAGUCAAAUAUGAAAUAGCUCUUAAUGUUGAUUAUAUUUUUAAAUAAUAUAUUAAAAAAAUGAUAAAUAAAAUUACAUUCUAUCUUUUACUAAAGUAUUUGUUUUAUUUUUUAUUUAUACUCCUUUUGAUAUUUGUUUGGAUUCGAGGACGAAUCUUUUUAAAAAGGGAGAGUAUGAUAUAAUUCUGACAAGCUCAAAGAUGAAGAAUUGGAAGAAGAGAAAGCGAAUAGAAUCAAUGGAGCCGUUCGUGUUGAAAUUGACAAUAAGCAGUACAAGUGAGUUGUUCGAAAAGUUCUUGGCUGAAGGAUUGGAAGAAAAUAAAGAGGGAAUUCGUUGGACUAGUGCAAUUCCAUGCAUCCGAAAUUCUCGCCUAUCUACGACAGUUUUUCCAUUCUGAUCAUAAAUCUCUCACCGAAUGUCCGAUCACUUUGAAAAUUCUAUGGAAAACCAACUUAAAGUUUUAUAACUUUUUUGUUUUAACUGGAGAGAGAUUCAGAGUGGCAGAGGUCAGAAAUCGAGCUUAAAGUCAACACACGUGCACAACCAAGUGUCUACUCGAGUUAUGAAGAGUGUUCGUGUCGUCGAAUUGAUAUUUGGGCUUUAUAUUUUACUUAAUUACAUUUUUAAUUUAGAAUUUAUUAUGUUUUAUUAUUUUAGAGUUCUUUUAUGGUUAGAAUUAGCUUAAUUACAAGUUUUCGUAUUAUAGUUUACGUAUGAGUCAUUUUCCUUGUGAAAAAAUGCGUCAUUUUAGAUCUUAUAAAUAGGUUGCCAAUUUAGCUUAUUUUCAUGAACAAAUUUUAAUGUUUAAGAGAUCAAUUCUAAUUCGUUGUUCUACAGCAUUUUCGGAAUUAUACAAGUGGAUUCUUUUAAUAAUUCUUUGCGCCAUAAUAUUGUUUUAUGGUUCUUUAUAACCACAGGGUAAAUAUUAUAUUUCACCUAGAUAAUAAUGGUUUCUAACUCUUCAUAACUAUGGGGUCAUUAUUUCUUGCUUCCGCCAAUUUGAUUCCUUGUUUUUUUGGAUGUUUCAAUCUUGCUUCGGCGUAAGGUAUUGGUUCUCGUAACAAGUUCUACGGGGUACGUAUCAGUUGGGUAUAAUUUUAUCAUACACAUUAAAUUUGCCUUUUUUGUGAUACAUGUUAAAUGGAUGAGUUUAUUGUCAAAAGAGUUAUACCACCUAAAUGUAGAAUAAUAAAAAGGGCGAGUUUGAAAUAGAUAUAGAAAUCCAAUAUCCCUACAAAUAGGCCCACUAUUUAACUUUCAUUUCAAAUAUACCCACAAAAACAUAAAUUUCCAAAUGGCCCUACAUAUUUAUGUUUCAGAUAAGCCCAACCCACCCCUUUCCCAUUCCACCCGCCUACCAGGCCACUCCGACCCGUUCCGGUUCCAUAUAUAUAUAUAUAUAUAUAUAUAUAUAUAUAUAUAUAUAUAUAUAUAUAUAUAUAUAUAUAUGAGACUAUUUUGGGGUCCCUUAUAUUAAAAAUAUAUACAGUUAAACCUCUAUAAAUUAAUACAGUUGGGACCAACGAAAUUUCAUUAAUUUAGCGAAAUAUUAACUUAUCGAUAAAUUAAUAAUUAUUAAUUUAUACAUUAAUUAAUAACUUAUUAAUUUAUGAAAUUAUUUUUAUUAUUAUUUUCAAUAAAUACAUUUUUUUUUAAAUUACGUGUAUAUUUUUCAUUGUACAUUAGUUCAAUGCACUAUAGAACACGUUUCACGAGCGGAAGCUCUAAAAGCAGCAAUGGUAUAGAACGAUUUUAUGUUGAGGUAUGAGAAAACUAUACCGAAUGUUCUAACCAUGUUAUGAAAAGCGAGGGACGAGAUUGAUGCUAAUGUGAACUUCAAUAAGAAACAAGCGACAAUUAAAUUAUAUUGUAUUAAACUUUCAUAGAUCUAUAAACUAUGUACUAUACCAUGUAAUUUAAGAAUUAUUUUUAUGCAUUAUUAAUUUAUAUAUUAUAUGGGGCUUCUUAAAAUUUUCGAAUGUGUAUUAUCUUAUAAAUUUAGCGAAUUAUUAAUUUAGCACGUUGUCCCCGAGUCGGGACCGGAAAAAUUUAUUAUUUAAGCGAGGUUAUUAAUUUAUCGGGUAUUAAUUUAUCGAGGUUCUACUGUAUAACUAAACCACCAUGUUGUUUACACCCUAGUGCAAACCCCCUCUAUUUGGAUAAUAAUUUGACAUACCCCCUCGGCAGAUUUGAAGUACCCAUAAUACUCUUUUAAAUUUGUUUUAAACUCUAGCCGACAUAUAUCGGUCUCUAUAUUCCUCUCUCAACUCUCAUAUCGAAAUCUCGCCCCUCAAGGUCUCUAACCGGCGAUGGUGCUUUCCGGAGUCAUAACUCUCUCUCCGGUAGUCGAAAUUCGAUGGUUUAACUACCGUUGGAUUCCUGUCGUCGAACUCCUUAUUUUGGUGGUGAUUUCAUUCAAUUUGGAGUUCUUGAUCUGUUUCUACAAUUAUUUUUUAGUCGCGACAUAUUUCGACAACGGUGGGUCUUUUCGGAUGAGUAAUUUGUGUUUCGGCAGUCGGAAUUUGACGGAUUACCCACCGUUGGAUUCCUCUUAUCGAGAUCUAUAUUUUUGGAAAAAAAAUUCAUUUUUUUAUUGUAAAUUUUUUUUCUAUAAUUUUUUUCAUUUUUUAGCGCAGAACCUUGGGUGGUUAGUGGCGGCUAGUGUUUUGGUAGAAGGCGCUUGGGGUGAGGAGUCAUUGGCGGUUUGGUCUAAAAUUCGUAGAAUUUAGCAGAUAUGGCCUCUCUCUAUCUCUCGAUCAUAUAGUGUUUGUUGAUUUUUGGGUGUUUUGAUGUUUUUUCAACUUUAUUUUGUUUUACAUUAAAAUAACUUUUUUUGUUUUGAUUUUGCAAUUGCAGUUUAAUGAAAGUCAUUGACCUUCUCCUUGAAGGGGUCAAUUUUUUUGGUUGAAAUCGCAUACACUAAAUACUAGUCUCGAUAGGGAAAGACCCUUAUUCUAAUUAUUGGCAUAAAUCAUCGACUAAAAUUUAAUAUAACAAUUACAGUAUUUGAAUGAUUUAUCUCACAAUUCUCCUAAAUCAAUUCAUAGCAAUUAAAGCAACUAGAAAACAAUCUCCCGAUGAUUUAAAUUGAAUCUAUGGAUGGAACCCAAUCGAAAUUAAAGUAGGCAAAAACAAAACGAAAACACGUCGUCUAUAACAACAAAUGAGAAAACUAACUUGUAGCAAGGACGUUCGACGUGCCAUGAUCUAAUAAUUAUUUGAUUCCUUCCAAUACAUAAAAUAAACAAAAACAAAAUGUAAGAAGCAUAUUGUCAGACAUGAUGACAUUCACCAAUAAAUUAUUAAAUUAGUAUUCGAUAUACUAAAUAUAUCGAGGAAAUAAGAAAGAAGAAAAAAUGAAGUAAAGAAAAUAAAAUAAAAAUGUGUUAUAUUAAUUGGAGUAGAUUGUUUUAUCGUACCAUCUUGGACAUUAAAUUAAAGCAUACUAGUCCAGGCUUGUGCAAAUGCAAUAUAUAUUUAGGUCUUACGUAUAGAUGUAUGACUUGUCUUCAUUGAUAAUGUUUAUUUAUAAUUUUUUUUUUUUUUUUUUUUAAUUUAUUGGUCUCACAAAAUUCUGUUGAAAGUUCGCCAAAUUGAAACAUAUUAUAAUGGAACCUAUUCCAAUUGGCAAAAUUUAGAUACAAAAUCAUUCAACUGAAAACGUGGUUUUCCUCUCCACCAAUAUUAUCAACAUGAUCACCGCCCCCUACAAUAUAUAUACACAUACAUAUAUUAAUUAUAUAAUAGAAUUGAUCUAGACAGGCCUCCAGCUGUUUGCAGUUGGUAUGUCUCAAUAAUUAUUUCUUUCGAGAAUAUAAUGUCAACUAUGACCCACACCCUAUAUAUACCUUUUCUAAUAACCAAUAUUCUUCAAACAUUCUAUUUUACCUUGUAAUUCCUCUAAUUACCUAAAGGAAGAAUUCUGAUCAUGGAUUCUUCUGUGAUUAGGGUUAAUGGAGAAAUGCUCAAGGUAUUUGUAAUCAUGGCCUACCUAUUGGCUGCAUCUUCAGCAGGCAAUUUCUAUCAAGAUGUGACUAUAACUUGGGGCGGCCCCCGGGGUCAGAUUCUAAAUGGGGGCCAAACUCUAUCAUUGUCCCUCGACAACAUUUCCGGCUCAGGUUUCGAAUCCAACUAUCAGUUCUUGUAUGGAAGGUUUGAUGUUCAGCUCAAGCUUAUCCCUGGAGACUCUGCCGGCACCGUCACCACAUUUUUCGUAAGAUCAUAUUUUCUUUCUAUAUGUAUAUGUAUAUGCAUGCACUUAUAAUCAAUGAUCAUACUUUCUAUAUACGUACAUUGAUGUAUGUGAUUAUGUGCAUCUAUCAGUUGUCAUCACAAGGAACAGCGCAUGACGAGAUUGAUUUCGAGUUCUUGGGGAAUUCUUCGGGGCAGCCGUACACUGUGCACACAAAUGUAUUUGCACAAGGACUAGGCAACCGAGAACAACAAUUCAAACUCUGGUUCGAUCCCACCAUUGAUUUCCACACUUACACCAUUAUUUGGAACUCCCAACGCAUCAUGUAAGCCGCGCAUUGCGCGCACUAUCAAUUUUUAAUUUACGGCAAAACACACACACACACACACACAUAUAUAUAUAUAUAUAUAUAUAUAUAUAUAUAUAUAUAUAUAUAUAUAUAUAUAUAUAUAUAUAUAUAUAUAUAUAUAUAUAUAUAUAUAUAUAUUAUAAUAUUAACUCCUUUUGAUGCAUGCACGCACGCAGCUACAUGGUGGACAACAUUCCAAUUAGGGUUUUCACAAACUACAUAGCAAAUGGAGUUUCAUACCCGACAAGCCAGCCAAUGAAGGUGUACGCCAGUUUGUGGAAUGCCGAUGAUUGGGCAACACAAGGGGGUCGGGUGAAGACAAACUGGGCAUUGGCCCCUUUCACCGCCACUUACCGGUAUUACAACGCAGACGCGUGUAUGAUUAAUGGAAUGACCAAUUCAUGCAAUGACGGAAUUAGCCGGCCAUGGCAAACACAGGGGUUAGAUGCCAAUGGAACCAACGCUAUACGAUGGGUUCAACAAAAUUAUAUGAUCUACGAUUACUGCACUGAUUUUAAAAGGUUUCCUAUGGGGCUUCCUACGGAAUGCAAUCUCCCGAGGUUUUGAUGAUCAAGCUUCAACUCUCUUUUUUCUCAUUCGAUUCAUAUAUAUAUGUUGAAUAUUAUUUCCUUAAUUCUUUUUUUCCUUUUUUGCUACCAAUGAAUGAAAUGUGAUGUUGCAUUUAUUUUUAAUAUAUAUUUGCUGUUUGUUUCUGACUUUCUUUCUUCACGAUUAGUACCCUUGUUUGAAUUUAUGCGUGCUAUUAUAUCAUUAUUACUUGUUCAGGUAGUUGAAUAUUUCUUGUGUAGGGUUAGUUAAUUUUCCAUUAGACCUACAUCUUUAGUCUGCACCAAUUACAUCUAAUAAAGAUCAAUUACUUCUAAUAAAGAUUACUAAUUUCAUAUUGAUUACUAAUUGCAUCUAGACAUUAGAGGGUUUUUUGCAAAAACCUAUGUAAUCUCGAAUUGCUGAAAAAACAAUUGUGUUAAAAAAAUUAGCACAAAACUCCCUGUGGAAAUUAGUCAAAGCCAAAAAGGACCCUGCAUGCUGUAUUUGCAAUACACUCGCCGUUUACGCGACUGGGAGUUUGAUUUUUGACCUAAAAAGACCCAAAUACCCCUAACUCAACAUUUUCGAAAAUUACAAAUUUAUCCAGGAUUUUUCACAUGCCCAAAAUGAAGUUUGUAGAAUUUUCGAUUCAAUCCCUAACAAUUUUAGGAAAGGCCUCUCUCCAAAUUGCAUAGGACCAAAUUGCAAUUUUCAUAAUUCCUUAAAACCUAAUCAUCUUCCUUCUCCAUCUACUUGAGAUCUGCUCCUUUGCAAAAUAUAAAAAAGGACAAAAAUUCCAGCUCGCCCCUCUCUUCAUAAUUCCAGCCCGUUUGCAAAAGAAGGAAAAACAAAAUAAUUGUUUUUUCCAUCGAAACCUGCCGGAAGAUGAAGGCACUUCACAUUGAAGAAUUGGCAGAUGGGAAUUGGAAGAAUUGCCCGUUCCUUCUCUGUCUCCUCUAAUGGUGGAUUUGAAAUUAAAAACAUUUUGAAGUAGUUGUUUGAGGUGGGGCGGCAGGUGUGUUGGCAGUGGUGGUGCGGCGGUGGAGGGCUAGGUGGAAGAAUUGGGUUGGGGGAGGAAGAUGAUGCGAUGAGAUGACGGCCCUGUGGGUGAUAAAUUUUUUGUUCAUUUUUCUUUUUUUUCGGUUUUUUUAAUUAUAUUAUUUUAUGCAUUUUAUUUAUUUAAAAUUGAAAUAUUAUUAAAAAUUUUGCAGGGAUAGUUUAGUAAUUUCUAAGUGAUCAGCGGCCAAUCUAUAUCUAUAUCCAAUGGCGGUACCAUGAAGGGGCAGGGGGGGCAGUUGACCCCCCAAGAAAUUUUUUUUUUUUUUUUUUAGCUAUUUUGACCUAAUAUUUUUUGAAUAUUACUUUUGGCCCCUCCAAAGAUUUUGUAAAUAUGUUUCUUAACCCUUAAUUUUUUGUUUAUUCUCCAUAAUUUCAUAUAAAUUAUAGAUAUAUAUCAUAUUAUAGAUAUGUGUCGUAAUUUUUUUCGUAGUAUAAACCUAUUUUUUCAAUGUCUUGUGAACCUAAAUUUUUUUUCGGGGCGUUGCCCCGAACCCCGAAAUUUUACUUAGCCCCCCCUACUUUCUAAUCCUGGUUCCGCCCCUGUCUAUAUCUAUACUACUUAUAAAAGGAUGAAUGUAGUUAGUGGUUUCUUCCCUUUUUUGUUUGGACAAAAAUAUCCUUUUAAUAGGUAAGAUUAAAGGGACAACAAAGUAAUAUUAAUUAUCCUUAAUUUUAUCAUUUUUAUUCAUUGAACAUCAACGUGUGUGUCACAUUGUAAUGUUGAUUAAUGAGUAAUAUUUAAUAAUUAAUAUUCAAUAAUAGCUGAGUUGGAAGACCAACAAUCCAAAACCGCUGCUAUUCUUCUUGCUUCAGUCCAUAAAUAUGAAAAUGUUUAUUUGAGGAGUUUGUUAACAUCCCCAAAACCUCGCUCUAGGAUUAGAGAGAACAAGGUCUAAAGGCUUAUGUUUUCGAAUGAUUUACCUUGCAACUAUAUAAUCGCAUUUAUCUAAUUGAAUUCUCUUGGAUAUAUUGAUAGGAAUUUAUUUCUUGUUGUGAUGCAAUUUUUUUAAUAAGCAUGGAUAUAUGUAACUUCUAAUUGUAUGGAGUUUUGCAGGAACUCAAAUAUUUAGAACUACGUACUGUGAAAUUGUAUAUUUGAUCGAUGUCCAAGAUGUGUUUGUCAAAGUAGAAGAUCAAGAAUACUAAUGCAAAGGUAAAUAUAAAUUUAUUUACUAAUAUCAAAGUGUCUUUUAAGCAAAUAUACUUGACUAUGAUAUCACUGUCUUUCUGAAAAAGUUCUUCACAAAAUCAUCUUAUUAUUUAUUAAAUGUUCUUACAUUGAUUUGAUUCAGAAAGUCUAUAUUUUUUAGCUAAAUUAUAUAUAUAUAUAUAUAUAUAUAUAUAUAUAUAUAUAUAUAUAUAUAUAUAUAUAUAUAUAUAUAUAUAUAUAUAUAUAUAUAUAUAUAUAUAUAUAUAUAUAUAUAUAUAUAUAUAUAUAUAUAUAUAUAUAUAUAUAUAUAUAUAUAUAUAUAUAUAUAUAUAUAUAUAUAUAUAUAUAUAUAUAUAUAUAUAUAUAUAUAUAUAUAUAUAUAUAUAUAUAUAUAUAUAUAUAUAUAUAUAUAUAUAUAUAUAUAUAUAUAUAUAUAUAUAUAUAUAUAUAUAUAUAUUAAGUUUAAUGAAUUCUUAUAUAUUUUAUAUUUUAAAAUUUAUGGCAUUUUUUUAUUUAAUUAAAAAUGAGAUUGCAUAUUUUCUACAAUGCCAUAAGUUAGUACCAGUGAGUGUUUUUAUCUGUAGUUUGAAUAAAAUCAAACUAUUAAUACUAUAUUUGUUCUAUGCUAUUUUUGUUGAACUUCAACGAGUUAUAUAAUAUUAUUCAUUUAUAGAUCCAUACACGUUUUCCACACAUUUAUAUAUACAUGUAUAGGUCCACACAUGUUUAACACCCACACUUAGGGGUGGAAAUUGGAACGGAAUUUCCGAAUUCCGUCAAUUCCGAUCCGAAAUCUGAAUUUGGAACCCAUUUUUUCAUUCCGAUUUUCGAUAUUUCGAUUUCCGAUUUUUCCGAUUGUUUUUUGAACGGAAUUGGAAUUACUUAUAAAAUUAUUGAAAAUUCCGAUUUUCGAUCCGAUUUUAUUUCCGAAAUAUAUAAUGUAUGAUAUAUUAUAUAAAAAAAUAUAAAUAUUAUGAUAUAUAUAUAUAUAUAUAUAUAUAUAUAUAUAUAUAUAUAUAUAUAUAUAUAUAUAUAUAUAUUUAUAUAUAUAUAUAUGUUUUGUUCUUAAGUCGUGAUUUAAUGCAUUUCAAUUGAUGAUGAAUAUUUUCAAGAAUCAUGAUACUGUUAAAAAUAGUAUGACCCAGGAAUAUGAUGUUCCUGAAAAUCUUGAUUUAUUAAAUAGAUGGACUAUCCCAAUUAUUAAACCUAAUAUGGUUUAUAAACUUGGUACUUUCGAAAAAUUAGGUUUCAAACAAAUUGUUAAAACCACUGAAUCUUCUAUACCUCUUCAUGAUUCUGAAAUGGUUAUUAAAUUACCUAGUAAAAAUGAGAUUUUACCUUUUAAAAGAACUCAUAAAUUCUUACAUAUUGGUUGUGUUCAAGUUGCCUUUAGGCCACUUACUUUGAACGGAUUACCAGAAAGUUUCCUCACUACUCUUAGAGAUGGUAGAAAUCUUAACUGGAAACAAUCCCUUAUGGGAAUUAUUGAGUCUAGCUUAGCUGUAGGACCGGUCUAUUUUGAUGCCUAUCCUAAUUUAUCCCUAUCCUUAUCAGAUAGUAAUAUUCUUGAAUCAUUAACAUUAAAUGUUAAAACUCAUGGUUAUAAUUACAUACCUGGUACUGAAAUUAUGUGUAUUUGCUAUCGUAUAUAUUAUAAACCUUUAUUUACACUUAAUCCUAUGUGUAAAAGAAUUGAGAAAGAUAAUAAUGAAACUAUCUUAAUUGAAACAAAUUUUAGUAAAUCGAACGUUACUACAAGGAGAUCUAUUAAAUGGGAAGAAAUUAUUUUUCCUGAAAAUUGGAUUUUAGAACAAUCUACUCCAAAGAUUCCUGUUAUUAAUAGCAACUUUCAACACAUCACUCAAACUAAUGAUGGAAUCAUUAAUAUUGGUUUUAAUAAUUUACGAAGACAUUCGACUUCUUAUUCCGGAUCUAAAUCCAGCCACUCCUUCAUCUCUCCUUUAGAAUAUGAGGUAGAUCUACCUUGUACCUCUAGACCUUCUACUUCUGCUUAUAGAGAAGAUACAUUUAAAAAUAACAAUUAUGAAAGAAUCAUUAUUAAUGAAAAUAACAUCAUUCAUAAAGAUGAGAUUGAUCCCGAAACAAUUUCGGAUUGUAAUUUUAAGAUUUAAAUGGAUUUUAAAACCUUUCUUGAUUUCUCUAAGGGUUCUUCGGUAAGAGCUCAGAUUAAUGAUGAAUUUUAUAAUCCCAAAUGGGAUGAUUUUAGAAUUUGGUAUUUUAAAUCCUUUUCAAAAACCGAUUUAAAUUACUUUGUUAACAGUUUUUAUAAAUUCUGCACUCAUCAUAAUGAAGUUACCUAUUAUGUUCCUUGGUUCAUAAAAACCUUUUACAUUAAUCAUGUUUUGGUUAUUGAAAGAGAUUUUAAAAUCAUCUCUGGUGAAAUACAGAAAUCUGUCCACCCUCCUCAUGUUCCUUUUCAAAUUGAAAAAAAUAGUAGAGUUUUUAAUUUUCUUCCAUUCUCUAAAAUUAUUGAAAAUGAUGUUCUACAAGUUACGGUUAAACAUAUCAAUUUAAUGAUUGAGCAAAAUAAUUUUUGCUAUCUUUAUCUUUCGAUUAUAGGUGAGGAAAUUAUAUCUUUACAUGAUAAAAUUGACAAAAUUUUAUCCCAAACUAAGACUCAGACUAAGUCUGAUUUACUUGAUAAAAGUACCAUUGUUAAGACUGCCUCUUCUAUACAGUCUCCUAUUGAAUUAGACAAUUUCAAAAUUGAACCUUCUGUUUCUGAUUUUGAAAAAAUCAUUUCUAGUAAAUUCAGUAAAUUAAAUAUUUCUACUUUAAGUAGUGAUUUUGAAGAAAGUCCUGAAACCAGCUCUACAAAAUAUGACAAUACAGAUAGUAUUAACAAAAUGAGAUGGGCUGAUAAGCCCAAUCUUUCUAAAUUCUAUUAUAAUAGACCAACUUCUAUGGAUGUUCUUCAUGAAGAACAAGAAAACUUCUUCAAUACUUCCUAUUCGGGAAAAAGCAUCUAUGAAUGGAAUAUUGAUGGCGGUAGUGAUAAACAUAUUUUUACUCAAUGCCAUCGUAUGCUUAUGUAUAGUUAUGCUUGCAAAAUUAGUGGUAACAAUGAUUUACAAACAGCUCAAGCUAUUACUGUUGGUUUUACUGGCCAGCUUAAAGGUUGGUGGGAUAAUUACUUAAAUAAUUUAAAUAAACAAGAAAUUUUCUCUUCUAUUAAAAUUGAAGAUGGUGAAACUAAACCUAAUGCGGUUUACUCUCUUGUUCUUACCAUUCUCGAACAUUUUACUGGUAGAUUUACUAAUAAAUCUGAAAACACCAAAACUCUUCUUUUAAAUAUGAAGUGUAAAACUCUUACCGAUUUUAGAUGGUAAAAAGAUACUUUUCUAUCACGUAUUUUUGAUAUUCCUGACUGUAAUCAGGAUAUUUGGAAAAACAAGUUUGUUGAUGGUCUUCCUUACUUGUUUGCUGAAAGAAUCAAAAAAGUCCUUAGAAAAGACUCAGAUCAUAUUGCAUAUGAGGCUUAUACUUUUGGCCAAAUCGUUAGUACUUGUAUUCAAGAAGGAUUAAGUCUUUGUAAUGAAAUCAAAUUAAGAAAUCAGAUCCGUAAGGAUAAUCUGCUAGAAAGAAAACAGUUAGGUCAUUUCUGUGACCAGUUUGGCCUAGACAAUCUUGGCAAAACACAUUCUCAUAAGACUAAAAGAGAAUUUAAUCAUAAACCUAAUUAUAGGAAAAGAAGAAGACAUUAUGAUAAUAAUAAACAGAUUAACCAUUCUAAAGAUAAGCAAGAUAACGACAAGGGAAGAGAUCGCUAUCACAGAAAGAAGUCCUAUAAAAGGGAUAGUAAUUUUCUUAGCAAAAUUGUUUGCAGAAAAUGUGGUAGAACAGUUCAUUAUGCUAAUCAAUGUUAUGCUAAAGAUAAGAUUAAAAGUCUUGAUAUUGAUGACGAUUUAAAGGAAACCCUUUAUAAAAUUGUCAUGAAUUCUGGGGAUGAUACAGAUUCUAAUAAAUCUGAUUCCUCUAAAGAAUCGGAUUUUUCCGAUGAUAUUUAUAAUAAGAGUGAUGAUUGUAAGAAUUGUGCUCUUGGUAAACCCUGUCUUAAUUGCAUCAAAGAUACAGAUAAUCCUGUAGAAGAUGAAUAUUAUAAACUCAUGAGUCAGUUCCAAGACCUGAAUAUUAAUGUGUUAACUAAUAAUAAUAUUCUUGACUUUCUUAAACAGAUUAAGGAUCCUAGUUUAAGAGAUAAGGUCAUUGACCUGUUACAAGACUCUAGUCCCUCACCUAGUAAUACUAGCACCAGUCUCUCUAGUAAAAUUGAUAAUAAUUUUUACAAUAUGGGAGAAUUAGAUAACCUUCUUAGACUCAGGAAUAUCAAGAAUAGUCCUAUCACUAUCAAUGAUUUGAGUCAAGAGAUUUAUAAUCUUAAAAAUGAUAUUAAGAUUCUUCAAAAGAAUAAUUCUGAAUUUUCGACGCGUCUUUCUAUUGUUGAGAAAGGCAAAGAGAAGGAAACUUUUACAACUCAGUCUCAGUUUAUUAACCCUGAUGAGUUUGACAAUUUAGAUAAAAAUCAUUUAUCUACCAUUAAUAUUAUUAUUUCUCAAAAAUGGUAUACGAAGAUUUCUCUCCUUAUUAAUAAUUCUUACAAGGAAGACUUCAUUGCUAUGAUUGAUAGUGGAGCUGACCUAAGUGUUAUUCAAAUGGGAAAAAUUCCCACCAAGUUUUUUGAAAAAACUACACAUUCUCUUUCUCACGCAGGAGGCGGAUCAUUAAAAAUUAACUAUAAGCUUAAGAAUGCUUAUGUUUGUAUCGAAGGUUGUUGUAUUGCUAAUGACUUUCUUAUUGCUGAGGAUAUUACUAGUCAAAUGAUUAUUGGCCUUCCAUUUAUUUAUAAGAUUUAUCCUCUUACAUUUAUUGACGAAAGAGGAAUUACAGGUACUUAUAAUGGUAAGCCUAUUUCUUUUAAGUUUAUCACUAAACCUAUUCAUAAGGUUCUUAACUCUAUCCAAGAUCAAAUUGAUUUUAAAAAUUGUCAGGUCAAUUUUCUCAAAGAAGAAUUUAACUCAUUAACUAUUGAAGAUAGAUUGAAAAAUUCAAAACUUCAAGAUAAAAUUAAGCUUUUAUAUAAUAAAUUCUCUAUUGACAUUUGCAAUGAAUUCCCUAAUGCUUUUUGGGAUAGAAAUAAACAUAUUGUUUCUCUUCCCUAUGAAGAAGGACUUAAAGAUAGUCAAAUUCCUACUAAGUCUAGGCCUUGCCAGAUGAACUCAGAAUAUUUAGAGUUAUGUAAAAAGGAGAUUUCGUCCUUGUUACAAAAGAAACUUAUUUCCCCUUCCAAGUCCCCCUGGUCUUGUACUGCCUUCUAUGUUAAUAAACAUUCUGAGCAAGAACGAGGAGUUCCAAGAUUGGUUAUUAACUACAAACCUCUUAAUAAAAUUCUUAAAUGGAUUAGACACCCUAUCCCUAAUAAAAAGGAUCUUCUUGACAGACUAGUAAAUGCUCUUAUAUUUUCAAAAUUUGAUUUAAAAUCAGGAUUCUGGCAAAUACAAAUUGAUCAGACUGACAGGUAUAAAACUGCCUUCAAUGUCCCUUUCGGUCAUUACGAAUGGAAUGUCAUGCCUUUUGGCCUUAAGAAUGCUCCUUCCGAGUUUCAAAAAAUUAUGAAUGAUAUCGUCUAUCAGUAUAGCGAUUUUAUCAUUGUUUAUAUUGAUGAUAUUCUGGUUUUCUCUAAAGACAUUGAGAUGCAUUUUAAGCAUCUUGAUAUGUUCAAAAACUUAAUCAUAAAAAAUGGUUUAGUUAUUUCAAAACCUAAAAUGGUUCUUUUUCAGACUAGAAUAAAAUUCUUAGGUCAUACUAUUGAAAAAGGAAACAUCAUUCCCAUUCAAAGAAGUAUUGAGUUUGGAAAUAAAUUUCCUGAUAUUAUUACAGAUAAAACUCGGUUACAAAGAUUUUUAGGAAGUCUUAAUUAUGUUUCUUCUUAUAUUAAAAAUCUUGCUAACGAUUCUGCUAUUUUAUAUGAUAGGCUUAAGAAGAAUCCUUCUCCUUGGAAUGAUAAUCACACUAAGGCUGUUAUUAAUAUUAAGGAGAAAGUUAAAAACAUCCCGUGUCUUAUGCUUGCUAACCCUUUGUGGGAAAAAUAUGUUGAAACUGAUGCCUCAGAUUUGGGGUAUGGGGGUAUUUUAAAACAAAUCAACCCUGAUAAUAAGAUUGAAUACAUCAUUCGAUUUUAUUCCGGUAAAUGGAAUAAUGCUCAAAAAAAUUAUUCUAUUACAGCUAAAGAAAUCCUUGCUAUUGUUAAAUGCGUCCUUAAAUUUCAUGAUGAUUUAUACAAUCAAAAGUUUACCAUUAAAACUGAUUGUAAAGCUGCCACUUUCAUGCUCGUUAAAGAUUUUGAGCAUAAUGUCUCUAAACGAAUGUUUGCCCGAUGGCAAUCUCAUCUUGCUUACUUUGAUUUUAACAUUGUUUAUAAACAAGGGAAAGAUAAUCAUCUUCCAGACUUUUUAACUCGUGAAUAUAUUUCUUCAUGACAGUAAUGAGCUAUUCUGGAAGAAACCCUUUUUCCUCUCAAAGAGGAAGGGGAGGCAGAGGUUUCCCUAUUAUUCAGCAAGGGAAGAAAUCCCUUUACAGCCAGAAUAUUUCCGGUGUUGGUUCUUCUUCAAAAGGAGACGAGGUACAAAAGGAGUUCCAAGAAUUCCUCAAACAAAGAGGAAAGAAUAUACCGAUGGAGGACAAUUCCUCAAAGUCAGAAGAGGAAGAAUCAUACUCUUCAGUUGCUCAGAAAGAAUACAAGUUCUUUGACUCCCCUAAGAAAGAGUUAAUCUUAGUCAUUGAAAAUGACGAUGAGACGUUCAAAGAGUCCCCAUGGAUUCUUAUGGAUAAGUAUCUCUCGGCAAAUUGUUGGAAGGUCGAGACCUACAAAACAAGAGGAUUCUAUGAAAAUAUCCUCACCAGCCUGGGAAGUGUUGAUAUUCAACACUAUCCUCCUAAGAGUAAGAUUAUUAACUACUCCAAGUUUAUUAUCAAGAAGAUCAUCUCCGUCCAAGAAUGGGGUACUUCUCCUUUUGCUGAGAAAAGCAUUACUAAUGAGGUUACUAGGUCAGUCUACCAGUACAAUUAUUGGGAUUACCUACAAAGUUUUUAUAAAACUCUUUUAUAUCAGAAUCCUAAGCAUUCUCACACAUGGCUCUGAUACCAUAUAAAUUCAAGAUCGUACUUAAUAUAUCAAGAGUAUCCUGUUGGAUCUUUUAGAAACACCAGAGGAUAUUACUGAGGACAUCCAUAGUUCCAUAGGUUAAACGUGAAAAAGCUUAACGCCCAAAACGCCUGGCGCCUAGAAAUCGGCAUAACGGCAACAAAGGCAAGCCCACAUUGGUUAACUUAUGAAUAUCACUGGGAAACCCUCAUAACCUUUCUGGGUUAAACCAAACUCUACCCUUUNNNNNNNNNNNNNNNNNNNNNNNNNNNNNNNNNNNNNNNNNNNNNNNNNNNNNNNNNNNNNNNNNNNNNNNNNNNNNNNNNNNNNNNNNNNNNNNNNNNNCCUUUGAUAUCUUAAGUAAAAUAAAUCUUUACAUUUCACAAAUGCACAUGAUAGUAAAGUAACGUUGAGUCACGCCAUGAUUUAAUACAGGAAACCUAGCCGGCCAUUGAGGCGGCGAUCAUAAUAUAUAUAUAUAUAUAUAUAUAUAUAUAUAUAUAUAUAUAUAUAUAUAUAUAUAUAUAUAUAUAUAUAGAUUGUAUUUCUGAAUUAUUUUUCUAUUCAUGUUUUGAAAGAACUAUGUUUGGUUUGCUAAAUUGAUUAUGUUGUUCUUACAAGUGUUUACCUUUCAUCUUGUUGAUCUUUGUUUUGGAUUCUUGCAUUUUGUCGAAAAAUUAAAAAAAUAUUAGGAAAUAAAAUCUUAAAAUUACCAUUAUUUCCGAUUUUGGAACAACAAAUUAAGAAUUAAUGCAAUUUCCUAAAAUUCCGAAAAUUCCGCCGAUUCCAAGGUAUUCCAAAAUUGGAAUGGAUUUUGAAAUUCUGAUUUUUUUGGAACGAAAAUUUGAACCUAUUUUUAACUUUCCAAAAACAUUGAAAAAAUUCCGAAAAAGGUAUUUCCGAUCCAUUCCGUCCGAUUUCCAUCCCUACCCACACUUCAAAAUCAAAUAGAUACAAUCAUAACAGAUAAAAGGAGUAACUUCAAUGAUAAAUAAUCUUAGUAUUCCUAAAAUUUCCUAAGGCUGAAUAAUCAAUGUACAUACAAAAAAUAAAAGGCAUUUGUGUGCUAUUUUACUUCUAAAAUAAAAAUGUUGGUCUAAUUUAAAACACAUAUAUAUAAUACAUCUUACCUAAGUGCAAACAUGAAUCUAUUCGACAAACAAAUUGCUCACUUUUGAUCUCCAAUUAAUGAGUAUUUUAAUACAAAAGAACAGAUAAAAAAUUAUUUAAUUUUAUCAGUACAAUUAUAGAAAUAAGUACGGUCAGACAUGGGUCGGGUCGAACAAUUAUCAGCCAAUUACCUACCAGAUGACCUAUCAAUUUUGCUGAAUAUUGAAAACCAUUACCGAUCUGAGCAUUAUGAGUCAGAUAAUGGCAAUUAACUUUGUCGGGUAAACAAUGGGUGGGUUGGUUGGUAUUAUGGGCCAUAUAUUUAUUGAAUAUUUUUUUCUUUUACCAAUAAUAAGAUGUUUUUAAAUGUUUUUCAAAAUAUAUUCAAAAUUUUGGAAGAAUUUAUCUUGCAAAAACAUUGUAUUUAGUAUUAAGAUUUUUUUUUUACUAAAUUUCUACAAUAAGUAAAUAUAAAAUAAAGGAAAUGAAGUAAUAAUUAUAAUAUAGAAAUAAUACACAUGUUUAUAAAUUUGUAUUGUCCCUUUUUGAGGUUUCACUUCAUGUUAAUAUAUUAUAUUAACUUUAAGAAACUGAGAAUUACAAUUAAAUAUUUAUAAUAAACUUUUUCAUUAUUAAAAAAGUCGGUUGGCCGACAUUACCCUACCAAUUGACUUUUGAGUAUACUGAGUAUUACCGACAUACCCAUUUAUGCAUUGCUCGAUUAAAAUUAUUGAACCCGACUGUAUGGGUCGGUUAAUUAUCUUUUAUCGGCUAAGAAAAGUGAGUCAAAAGUGAGUCGAGUUCAGAAUUCUAUGACGCGGGUUCGUUUUACAACAAAAAUGUGAGUAGUUGAAGGAAAAUUUAUUUUGUAGCGAAUUGUUGUUUUAUAUUUUGCAAAUUGAACAAUUGUUGGAACUGUGAUUGGACCAUUCAUAUAUACUAAUUAAAUAACCAAAUAUUAGUAUUACUUAGUAAAUCUUUUUUCCCCUUAUUAAUUGGCAGGCAGAUGUUAUCAUUAUUUUUACUAAUUUUAAUUUAUACCGAUGUUAUCAUUACUAGGGUAAUUAAAUAUAAAACCUGAUUAUUUAUACUGGGUGCAUAUGAACCGCAUAUUUACACAUAAUCGCACACACCACAUCUAUGUGUAUAUAUACUUAGUAGAUGAAUAUUUAAUCAGAUCUACAGUUAAAAUCCAUUCGGUAUAAAUAAACAAAUGUAUGAUCUAGCUCCCCUUAUUAGUGAUGUUAUUAAUUAAUAUAAAACGUUGACAACAAUAUUCAUGGUUAUAUAUAUAUAUAUAUAUAUAUAUAUAUAUAUAUAUAUAUAUAUAUAUUUAUAUAUAUACACACACGGUUAUUGUUCGAUUAUGCUUUUAAUAAGUAUUCAUAUUCAUACUAGGGGCUCUUUGAGGAAACCCCCUCAUUACUUUUUUUAAUGGAGAGAGGUUCAAAAUAUUUCAGUCUAUUUGAGAAAAGGCCACACCCAUUUUGAGCCAUUAUGUUUUCCAGUUUUUCCCCCGCCAGCCACAUCAUCACAGCUGGGUCACGCGCUCAGUGAUUUUUUUUUUCUUUUUCUUUUUUUUUUUCCGUUUUUUUCCCCUUCUUUUCUGUAUCAGUUUCCUUAAUCGACUAUGUCCUUAAUCGACUAUGAAGCAUAGUCGAUUAGCCUUAAAUCGACUAUACUUCAUAGUCGAUUCAGGAAAAUCUUUAUUUUAUUUUUUUUGUUUUUUAAUUUUUUUUUUCUAUAUCACGUAUAUUAAUCGACUAUGAUGAAGCAUAGUUGAUUAAGAAUCUGCUAAUAAACAUAACAAAUCACAAUUGCGAAAAAAUGCAAAAUCAACUAUAUUUUACAAAAAACAAAAAAAUAUACAAACAUUAUAAUUGAUUUAUACACUUGGAAUCAAUAAAUAUAAAAUCCAAAAUAAAAAUAAAAAAAUGGAGUCGAUCAACCUUAAUCGACUGCCAGAACAUAGUCGAUUAGCUUAAUCGACUAUUGAACAUGUACAUAGUCGAUUAAGGUUUCAGCCUGCGCGAAAUUCUCUACACGCGCCGUCCUCCGUCCGAUCCACAAAAAAACUCAAAAUCAGCCUCUCCCAUCGUCACCACACCACCGGACUUGGUGGGAGUUUUCUUUUCCCCUUGGCUGAAAAUAUAAAUGCGAUAAUUAAAGUAAGGAAGAGAGAAAGGAGAGCAUAUAUCCAGAUUUGUUUAUGAAUUACUUCACACCCAAGUUCUGGUCAAACUCAAACCCCUUCUUCUCCACCACCUUCAGAAACCGCAAGCCCUGCUACUUCAACACCUGAGUAAUGGUGAUCGACCUCGCCAAGUGGAGGAGCCACCGCUUCACGCGGAAGCUCGAGUACUGGAUGAGCAUCCAGAAGAGAUACAGGAUCUACGAGCUGGGAUCUCUGCCGUCGUUUCUGCUGGUCUUCGUCGGAAACGUGGAAGCGGUGGAACGACGAGGGGACAGUGGUGGUCGGUGAGGAUCUGGCGGCGGUAGCGGUGGACGGCGGGGGAGAGGCAGUGACGGUGGUGAAAGGCAGGUGACAUUGGGAAAGAGAAAUUAGGGUUUCAAAAUAGUAUAUUGACAAUUAAGGGUAGAUUUGGAAUUAUAAAAAUAAUAUUUGGUGGAAUACUAACCAAGGGGAUUUUCUCAAAUUAUUUUUGGAAUGAGGAGUUUUCUUAACUACAUUUACUAGAUGAGGGGGUCUUGCUAAUAACCCCUUCAUUCUAAUAGUCAAUAGUUUGGUUUGAAACAGAUAAUGACACAAGUCCCAGCUUAUAUUUUUUAUAUGUCAUGUAAUAUACAUCCCAUUAGUUUACCUAAAAAUAACCACCAAAUUAUUUUUUUUAGAAAAGAUACAAAACACUCCGAAGACUUAGGCAGUGUUUGCUGAAGCUAAAAAAAAAUAGAACUCAGUAAUUGUAAGGUGGUGUUUGCAAGAGGUUUAAAAAAAAUGAAAUUGUGAGUUAGUGUUAAGUGUUUAUUUUUAAGAGAAGUUUCUUCAAAGAUGCUUUGCACAUUUCCAUUUUAAGCAAGAUAAGUAGAAUCAAAAUUUGAUAUUGUUAAACACUUCAAAAGUGAUUUUGAACCAAAAAGCUCCAAAACCACUUUUUAUAAGUUUUUACAAACACCACCUACUUAAGUUUGUAUUAAGUACUUAUUUCUAAAAAGUUUUAAGUUUACAAAUACGAUGGAAAAUUACAAAAAUAUCAUCUAAUUAAUUACAAAAGUGUCAUUAUAUAGAAAAAACACGUCCAUGGAUGUUUUUCAAAUUAUAGUUUAAAUCAUCUUAUUUUAAAACAAACAAAAAUAAAAUUUCAUACUACAAACACCCCAAAAACAAUAUGAGCCAAAAAAGAAUCCUUGAAUCUGUUACUAAAACCUUUUGCGGACACCAACUUAAUGAUAACACUCCUUAUCCGAUGUUGCACAGUUAUAUCGUAGCGAUUAAAUCCAAAUUAUGACAGUGAUUGAAUAAUCAUAAAUUUCAUAAACUUUGAAUAUCUUCAAGGUAAGAAAUUCAUCAAUAAUAUUCAUUCAUUUUAUUCCUAUAUGUAUUUUAGAAUUUAUAUAUUUCAAAAUUACAUAAUGGUGUAGGCCAGUAACACGCAUUCUAUAGCAUUAUUUAAGUAUUGGUGAAUCCCCAGUACUAAAGCGAUUUUAUAUUUUUAUGAUAAAAUAAAAUUAGAUUAUAUUACUCCAAUAUUUCAAUGCAUAGAGAAAUUAAAAUCGUGACGUGCAACGCACGUCCACCUUGCUAGUAUAAAAAAAAUUGUAAUCAAAUUAAUAUCAACUGCUAUGUAUUUGUUUUUCUAUACUCUAUCUAUAUCUAUACUACUUAUAAAAGUGUGAAUAGGCAGAAUGUUUCUUCUAUUUUCCGUAAUUCCAAAACUGCCCCAUUAAUAGGCAAGAAAUGAAAGGUCAAAUAGGUAAAUUGAUUAACAUCUUUUACUAAUUUAUAAAUUGUUAAUACAUUAUAUAAGUUAUUAUAGUCUAAUAUUAAUUAAAAUGAUAAGUUAAAAUUGAUUGAAUAAUAACCUUAAAUAAAUCAUAUUGAUACGUAUUUAGCAUUUGAUACAAAAAGCAAGGUAUACAAACCACUUCACAUUAAAUUACAAAUUAGCCCAAUUGUUAGCCGCUGGACUCAAAUUACAAAUUUGGAGGCCAGUUCUCGAAAUUUCAGUACUUACAAUUUUAAUCAUAAAAUUUGAUGAGUUUCCGUUAUAUUGUUUCUUCAAUUAUUGAGGAUUUUUUUUUUUUAUUAAUUUCGGAAGGUUUCAUUCCAGUUUUCACCCUCGAGAUGUAUCAUUUUCGCACUUUGCAUCACCAAAAAAAAAAUUAAUAUCACGUUCACCCCAACAUAUGUUUUAAGGUGAGUGAAGAUAAUUUCAUCUUUAAGUAGAAUUUAUAAAUGAAAGUUUUCUUUUAUAUGAUAAAUUUAAUUCAUAUAAUAGAAUUCUGAUAAAUUUAAAUUGAUGAUUUUUUUUUGGUAUGAAACGAUAUUUUUUAUGUAAUUUUGUGAAAAAAUAAUCGAAGGACGGUAAAGUUAAGAUUUUAAUAUUUUGAACGAAGAAAAUAAAUAUUUUUGUAUGGGUGUUUCACGGAUGACAGUUAAACCUCAAUAAAUUAAUACAGUUGUGACCAUUAGAAUCCUAUUAAUUUAGCAAAAUAUUAGCAUAUCGAUAAAUUAAUAAUUACUAAUUUAUACAUAAAUUAAUAAAUUAUGAAAUUAUUUUGAUUAUUAUUUUCAACAUAUACAUUUUUUAAUUCUUUUUUACGUGUAUAUUAUUCAAUAGUUUAAUGUACUAUAGAGUCCGUUUCUUGAACGAAAGAUUUUAAGGCAACAAUGAUAUUGAAUAAUUUUUUGUUGAAUUAUGAGAAACUAUACGAGAAAUUCUAACCAUGUUAAAAAAAAUGAGGAAACAGAUUGGUGGUGAUGUGAAUUUCAACAAGAAACAAGCGAUAAUUAAAUCAUAUUUUAUUAAGCCUUCGUUGAUCAAUAAAAUAUGUAUUGUACUAUUUAAUUUAAAAAUUAUUUUAAUGCAAUAUUAAUUUAUAUAUUAUGUGGGACUUCUUAAAAUUUUCGAAUAUAUAUUAUCUUAUAAAUUUAGCGAAUUAUUAAUUUAGUACGUUGUCCCCGAGUCGGGAACGGGAAAAAAUAUUAUUUAAGCGAGGUUAUUAAUUUACCGGGUAUUAAUUUAUCGAGAUUUUACUGUAUAUUCAUCUUUAGUGUCAUGUUACAUUCUUUAGUUCUCCCCACCAUUCAACCAUUUUCUCACUAUUUUACGCAAAUUAUACUCUUUUUUAGCCAAAGAUCUACCAAAGAAAUAAUUACUCAGAGAAUUUUGCUAAAAUAUCAAUUGGGGUGCAAUGUGAAUGAUUAGUUACCUUUUGAGAGUAUAAAGUGCUAUUAUUUUUUCUGGGGGUACAAAGUGCCAAAUGCUAUAUUUUAAGAGUGCAAAGAAAAAAUAAAAUGGAGUUGUAAAAUGUUCUUAAAAUUUCAAUAAUUUUGGCUGAUAUAUUUAUGAUUUAGGGUUAACAUUUACCUCUAUGCAAAUAUUGUAAAUUUGCUCAUUUUUCAUGAUUUACAAUUUCAUUUUUGUCCGGGUUAUGAAUAUGAUCACAAGUGGGUGAUAAUAUUUGUUUACUUUUGUUAAAUAAUAUUACAACAAAAAUGAAGAAAGUUUGUAUAAAAAUUAAUCAUGCAUGCCAGUGAAAGCAUUACUAUAAUGAUAUUUAACCAAAAAAAUGUUAUUUUUUACUCGAAUUUAAUUGAUCGAAAUUUACCAACAAAAAAAAUGAAAAAGAAAAGAAGGUUCAAGGAGGUGGAUCAAUGAAAUCCAUGUUCUUGCAAACUUUGGAUAAGUUUUCUUGCUUACUAUGUGAAUGAGAAGUCUUCUUCACCUAUAAAUUAGGAAAAUCACUGUAUUUGACUAUAUUUUUAUUCCAAGUCCACAUUAUUUCAGUGGAGCAGUUGAACAACCAACUUUGUUUCAUACGUUUUAAAAAAAUUCAACUUAUUCCCCAAACUAUAUGGUUAUUAUUAAAAUAAGGAGAUGUAUUUAUAACUUACACUUUCACCCCUCAAUUGAGAUUUUCUUCAUAGUUUCACCAUUUUGUAAUUUAAAGAUUUUUUAGGUAUUAUUGCAACAUUAUUGUGAUAUAAUUUUUGGAUUUCACUUCAAGAUUUGAAAAUAAAAUAAAAUGGUUAAUGGAAUCAUGAUUGCAAAUAUAAGUAGAAAUUAUAUGAGUCGAAACAUGUUAUAUUGUAAUAUUAGACAAAGUUAGACUAUAAAUACCUUAGCUUGUAAUGUUCAAUGAAUUCUAUUUUCAAAAAGAAAAAUAAUGACAAUAAUAAUCUUUUUUUUUUGAGGAAAUGACAAUAAUAAUCUAUCUAUCCAAGAAAAUAUGAUAAUGUUCCAAGAAGAAGUUGCAAACAAAAACUAAUACAUAUAAGAAGGAAUGGGUAAAUAACAUUUUCCAAUGAUGAUCAAUGUGAAGAAAAAAAAUCAAGAUGAAAGAAAAUAAAAAAUAAUUAAACGGAAUCAUGAAUACAAAUAUAAGUAAAUCAUGAAUCUAAAUAAUAUAUUCCAAAUAACUUUGAUAUUUUAAUAUAUAUUAUUAUUUCGAUUGAAUAAUAUGCCAAAGCAAACCAAAACAAACAGAGUAAAUUGAGACAAGACGUGCAACACACGUCCACCUUCCUAGUUUCAGAAAAAAGGGCAAUGUUCUUUGUCAAUUAAAACAUAGGGGGUAUUUACUAAUUUUUGUAACACGCGGACUUUUUUGACUAUUCGAGAUUACACAGGAGGUUCUGUGCAAUUAGCUCAGAAAUUAGAUGGUUCAACUAUUUAAAAAAGCACCAAGCAGUAAUUGUUCAUAAAUAUAUACAGAUGGAAAUUUAUCUAAGAAUCAGGGUUAUAUGAUUGGGGCUAUUUGAUAAAAAUCCUUAAAACUUUCAUUAAUAGAGGCCGAUCCAACCCAUAUUUUUAUAAAUCUAUGCUCCUUUCCAUUCCUAAAUAAUCCGAAAAUUACAUUUCACUAUUUUUCCCCACUACACCCAUCCCUAUUUUUGUUUUUUCCUUUUUUUUUUAAUUAAUUUUCGUUUUUAACUUUUUUAGAUUAAUUCUUUUUAAUUUUUUUAUUUUUUUUUUCUCUAUCAGGUAUAUUAAUCGACUACGAUAUUAAUCGACUAAGGGCACAGUCGAUUAAUGAAACUGACUGCUAAAAUCGUUGUUGAAUAAUGAUUGACUAUUAAAAGUAACAAAGACAAUCGUAAUGUCGUCAAUGAAACUCAACACGCGUUUUACAAAAGAGCAAACAAUAACUAACGGACACAAAUAACAAAAACAACUACAAAGAAAAAAUGAAAAUCAACUAUUUUUCUCAAAACAACAAAUAUAGAAAAUUUUUAUUGAUUUAUACAAAUCGGAUGAUGGAUGGACAAUGACAGAACAAAAACACACUACCGCUAUGCCCCAAGACCGACUACACGUGGCAAAAUAGAGAAUCAAUAACAAAAAAUUCAAAAUGAAUAAAAAAACGUAACAAUUAACCUUAAUCGACUACUGAACAUAGUCGAUUAUGGGUCCAGUUUGCGCAAAUUUUCUCCGUCUGCACCGUCAUCCGCCUGACCUUCUCAAAAAAUCCUAAAUCUGCCUCCCCAUCGUCACCACACCGUCGCUACGCUACACCAUCACCAUCCCCACCACCGUCACCACAAAACACUGUCUAUUUUUCACCCCCAUGGAGAUUGAUCACCUUCACCGACGACAAUAAUAGAUCGACUCUCAUGGCGAGAAGGGGUUGCUUUUGCUCCGAGCAGCCGCGUCACGGUGGUUCUAGGCUCGCUGGAGCACUGUCGUGAGGGCAUAGAAACAUAGGGGGGCGUCGACAAUAUUUUUUCCGACCACUUGCUCCGGAUUGAGAGAGAAGAAGGAUUUGGACGAAAAAUUGAAGAAGAGAAAAAAAAAGGAGGGGGGGGGGGGGGGGAAGAGAGAAAAAGAAUAAUAGAAUUAUGGUUGGAAGGUAUAUUGAGAAAUUUAAAUGUGUGAGAAAUACUAUAUCUAAAGCAAAGGAUUUUCUUAAGUUAUUAUUUGGAGGGGAUCUACCUCACAUGAUUUUCCCAAAUGCGAAAUGCUACUAAUUUUCCCUUAAUUUUUAUGUUACUUGGAAGGCACAAAAGAAUGAUCUUUUAAUAUAAAAUUCUACUUGCCAAUUAAACAUAAUUAAAUGUUAGUGUUACUAUAAUGUCAUGCGAGUGAAGAAAAAGCAAAAUUGAGUAUUACUAUUACAAGUGUCUUCCUCGAUUUUAUGAUAAGUAUACAUUAAUUUGAAUUUUCUUUAAUAAUUUCAAUAGAAAAUAUUAUUAAUUUCUUAUUCAGUAGAAUAUCCUAAGUUCGUCUAUAAUUCAUUUCUAGUUAGUAAUUUAUUUUUUCUUAAUAUUAUUGAUGAAAUAUUUCACCUUUUUAUUUGAAUUUUAACUGUAAGGAUUCUAGUACAUAAUGAUUAGAAUAAAUGAUUUUCUGCAUUCGGUUUUCUCGACAUCCAGUUUUUAUAAGUUCAGUUUGAUGUUAGAGGGGAGGUAAAUUAAAGGUUUUGAUACUAAAAGGCCUGAUAUAGUGAAGAUUUGAUACUGAAAUUUGUUAAUAAACUAACUAAACAACAAAACAAAGAGAAAUUGAGAGAGGAAUAUGGAGAGAAUUUAGAAUGUAUUUCUCUUCUUAGUAUGUAAAACUACUAAUAUGAUGCUCUAUAUUACCUUCAAAGGUUAUUAAUUACAAGGAAUAUAAUGGGUUUAAAACCCUUUGCCUUAGAUAUAGUAUUUCUCACACAUUAAUAUUAUUUCGGUUGACGUAAUAUUACUGUCAAUCGGAAUAAUAUAUGUUGUUGACCACCGGUCAGCAGUGGAAAAAGAAUAUCAAAAAAAAAUCAAUGUCGGAGACCAGUACUGAUCGUAGGUCCGCAGCGGCAAAAAAUAAAUUAUAAAAAAGAAAAAAGGAAAAAAAAAAAGUCAAUGCCUAUCAGUGACUGUAAAAAAAGAAAUUAGACAAAACAAAGUAAAAAAAGAAAAGGUCAAAAUUGAUGAAAUUUGACUUAAAUUAGAUUUUAUACUUAGGAAUUGGAUUUAAAGGAUUAUAAGUAAUUUUGUCAUAAGUAUUAAAUUUGCCUAAUUUGUUCUAAUAUAUGUUGAAGGAGAGGACUUAUUGGUGAAAAGAAAGAAACGGGAUAAUUAUACUUUUGGCUGCCCAAGUAUGCCCCUUUUUCACUUUUGGCCCCCCAUUUACCGCCGUCAACAAAAUACACACUAAGCUAAUGUUGUCACAUUUUAACAUAUUGAGUCCCUCCGUCUGUUUGACCGUCAUGAUGUAAAGGUCAACGGUUGAAUUAGGGUUGAAUUUGGGGUAUUUCUUUGAGAAAAUUCAGUAAGACCCCUAUAUUCUUUCAAAAUAUUCUAAAAACCCCUAAAAAGUUAUCCAACCAUAAUUUUAUCCCGAUUUCAUCAAUGACCAAUUUUAACCAAUGACCCUGAUUUUUCAAAAUCGGUUAAUCCGACUUUGACUUUCUUUUUAACUCGGUUGACUCCUUUUUGGAUUGAUUUUUUUUUUGCCGCGGUUGACCGAUGUUGAAUGUCGGGUUAAUGCGUUGACUUUUUUUUUUCUUGAUUUUUAUUUAAAUUGUUGAGUAGUGGGAAACGUAUAAUUUUAAAAAAGUCAAAGUUGAUAACGGCGACAAAAAUAAUAUCAGAAAAAAUCAAAAUAAAAGAAAAAAAGGAAAAAGUCAACGCAUAUCUCAACGACGGAAAAUUUUUAAGAUAAAAAUUAACGGCUGGUGUUAGCCCCAAAAACCGUUGUACUAGAGUAGUUAUCUCAUUUCCAAAUUACUCUGCAGAUGCUUAAUUCAUCUUAUUCAUAUAUUCUUGGGAAGACAUUUAGGAUGCAAUGGCGGUUCCAGGAAGAAAAAUUUGAGAGGAAGAAAUUAUGGAUUUUUAGAAUUUUUUAAAUUAUAUUUGGGGCCCAAAAUUUUAGAUAAAAACUUUAUUAGAAGUUUGUAAUUUUAAUAUUACGAUCCAAUAUAUUAAUAUAGUAUUAUUAUUGUGUUAUACAUCAAUAAUACUGCGUUGAUCGGAAAAAAAAGUCACAUCAAAAAGUUAAAAAAAAAUCAAGAAAAAAAAGUCGACAUUGUUAACCGGCAGUCCAAUUUCGUUGAACGGCGUCAAAUAAAAUAUUAAAAAAAUUCAAUGCCGAAAAAAAGAAGUUAAAAAAAAUGGGGGUAAAAUCGGGGUCGUUUGUCAAGAUUGGUUAAAUAAUGAAAUUGGGGUUAAAUUAGGGUUGAAUAAAAUUUUAGGGGUUUUUAGAAUAUUUUAAAAGAAAGAAGGGGUUUGAGUGUAAUUUUCUCAAUGAAAAAUCUCAAAUUCAGCCAUAAUUCAAUGGUUGAUCGUUACUUGUUGAGGGUCAAACAGGCAGAGGGACUCAAUGUAUUAAUAUGUGACAACAUUAGUAUGUAUUUUAUAGACGACGGUAAAUGAGAAACCAAAGGAGAAAAAUGUGCAAACUUGGAGGACCAAAACUGUAAUUAUUCCAAACAAACACAUGAACUUAGAUUAGUAAAGUUUGAUGUUCCGACGUAUAAGUCCUUAAAUUAUUAGGAAAAUAAACUUCAAGUGAUAAUGUUUAGAUGAAACAAACUGGAAACAGCAUUAUAUUCCGUUGCCAAUAUAUUUUAUACUCUUAUAUUCCAUCUAGCCUUACGACUUGGAAGUUAAAUAAUAAAUACCUUCCUCGCCAGCAUUUUUUGUUUUGCUUUAUUUUUAUUUUUUUCAUUAUUUCAUGAAUAUUUUUGGGUGAACCAGCUUUUAAUUCUUGAAUGCAAACUUAAAUACGCGUCAAAUUAUUCAGCUCUCUGUUACAAAAUUACAAAAUAAUAACUCAUAGUCCACGCCAUACAGUUCAUGCUUACGCGGCAAAUCCUACCUGGCUGGGAUGUUUCCUUUAAUUUGGUCAACCCCUCAAACCCCCCACACACACACACCAAUAUAAUAACCCAAUUAUAAAUAGAGAGAGAGAAGAGGAAGAAUGUGAGUUAAUUGCAUUUACUACCCCUGUGAAAAUCGCAACUGCGCGAUUCCCCCCUGUCAUAAAAAAAUAAGCAAAUACCCCCCUAUGCUUACAUUUAGACUGCAUACUCAACCCAUUUAUCUUUUCCCCUUUGACCAGCAGUAAAAAGACCAAAAUACCCCAAGGAGAUUUGUUAUAUUACAUGUUGAAAUUGUUUUCAAUGUGUUUAAUUUUAAUUCUAUUUCAAUUUUAUAUAAAUAAAAUACAGAAAAAUAUUAUUGAAUUAAAUAUAUAAAAAAAAAAAUAAAGAAUAUUUUAACCUGUAUUCAUCUUCCCCGCACCCCACCCCAUCCACCCACCCACCCAAAACCAUAACUCUUCACCCACCCCCAUCACCACCACCACCACCGCCACCGCCGCCGCCGCCCCUUCCUCCAGCUCUCCCGCGUUCGGAACCCUCGACGACGAGUUCUUCUCCGGAGGCUCCGAUUUCGACCGCUCCCUCUUCCAUCCCUCCUCCCGAAAAUUCACCCCCAAUGUCACUCUCCUAAUUCUCUCAGACUUCAAUUCCAAUUGCGAUUUCGAUUUCCCCAAAAUUGUGAAGCCCGGGGUUUUCAGUCUUAAGCCCGAAUUCGACAAGAGAAUAUCGCACUCUCGGAACAAGACGAAAUCAAAUUGAUAGAAACCAGCUUAGAAGACAAUGAAUCAGUCGUGGGUUUGAAUUUCUUGGUUAAGGGCUUCGAAUUGGGCACCCUGAAGCUCUGUUCUUCUUGGUUGGGGUUUUCUCCUUAGCCUAUGCAUAUGCUGUGUUUGCAUUCAUCUUCACUUACACUUGGGUGAGAGGGGUUAUUUUCCUCAAAGUCGUCGACAUUUUGCUCGGAAACUACCGAUCUUUUCUCCGCACAUUUUGGAAAGGUUCGAACAUCAAUUUUAAACAAUCCAAGCCCAAGUGUUCCUAAUUAUUAUAAUGUAAUCUUCUUUCCUCGUUGUCUUCUAUGUUCUUCGUCAUGAACGUGUUUCCUGAGCAACCCAAAUACCGGUGACAACAAGAACUGUGACUACGAAGAUGAAGAUCUUCGGUUCUUUACCCACAUAACACAUUUUUUUAAUAUUUUUUUUUAUUGGAUUUAAAUUAAGUUCUUAAAAUUUGCAAUUUAACCCCCCUUAAGUUUCUGCAAUUUCUUUAAAAAAAUUCAAUUUUGUCCCUUAACUUUAAAACCUAUCUAUUUAAGGACAACAAUGUUUUUAUUGCAAAAACCCUGGGUAUUUUAGUCAUUUCAUAGGCAAAAGAAAAGAAAAACUCGCACAGGCAGCGAGUGAGCCUCACGAGGUGCCCUCAAGGGGGUUUUUGCCUUUGACUAAUAAACAUAGGGGGGUAAUUGCUAUUUUUUUUAUGAUAGGGGGGAAUCGCGCAGUUGCGAUUUUCACAGGGGUAGUAGAUGCAAUUAGCUCGGAAGAAUGUAAUUGGAAAGGCAUAUUUCAGCUUUCUUAGUUCACCUUUAUUUUGAAUAUCUCUGAUCCCUCUUCUUGAAGCUCCAAAAAUUAAAUAAUGAAAAGAAUGCCCCAUUUUUCUGAAUCCAUACCAAACUUUGUGCUAAUAGUAUUAUUGUGUUCGAUGAUCGAACCUUCAUUUGGAAAUUUCACGAAAUACGCGGAGAUUAACUGGGGUGAUGGUCGUGGCAAGAUCAUCGAAGCAGGACGAGGAUUAACAUUGUCCCUCGAUAAUUCUUCUGGUUCUGGUUUCCAAUCAAAGAAUGAUUUCUUAUUCGGCAGAUUUGACAUCCAACUCAAACUUAUCCCAAACAACUCAGCUGGCACUGUCACCACAUUCUUCGUAAGUAAUUAAUAUUGCCAUAUUUUAUAAGCAUUUUCAAUUAUGUAUAUAUAUUGCAUCUCAUGACAUGCAUCUAUUGAAGUUUUACUGUUUACAUGACAUGACAUGUGUUAUGAUUAUUAUUAUUAUUAUUCAUGCAUAUUAAUUAUUUUCUUGUUUAAUUAAAAACGUACAGCUAGCCUCUCAAGGAUCGGCACACGAUGAAAUUGAUUUCGAGUUCUUGGGGAACUCUUCAGGAGAGCCGUACACAGUUCAUACUAACGUCUACGCUCAAGGCAAAGGAGACAGAGAACAACAGUUUAAACUUUGGUUCGAUCCCGUUGCAACAUUCCAUACCUACUCAAUCGUCUGGAACUCUCAGCGCAUCAUGUACGAUUAAUUUUAUGAUCAUAUUAAUAUUUUUACUAAUUAAUUAUAUAUUAAACAUGGAAACUCUGUUAAACUAAAAAAGGAAAUUAAUUAUUAUCACUAUUUACAGAUUCUUGGUGGACAAUAUACCGAUUAGGGUUUUCAACAACAACGGAGCAUUCGGAGUCCCGUUCCCGACGAACCAGCCAAUGAGAGUGUACGGUAGCUUGUGGAAUGCAGAUGAUUGGGCAACACAAGGCGGGCAGGUCAAAACCAAUUGGACCCAAGGUCCAUUUGUGGCCAAUUACAGAAACUUCAAAAUCAAUGCAUGUGCGUCGUCGUCAUCUUCAAACGGGACAUGCGUAUCGGGAUCGGGGGAUCCUUUUAGUAACCAGAGUUGGCAAACUCAAGAGCUUGAUGCCAAUGGCAGAAACAGGUUAAGAUGGGUCCACCAGAAAUAUAUGAUCUAUAAUUACUGCACUGAUUUCGUCAGGUUUCCUCAGGGUAUUCCAGCUGAAUGCAAGCGCUCCAGAUUCUGAUCGAUCUAAUUGGAUCCACCCAUUUUCAUUUUCUUUUUCUUUUUAUUUAAUAAAUUUUUAAUUCUUUUUUCACGUGCUUGUGAUUGUGAAAAAAUGGCGUUGUUCAUGGGGAUUCUUUCAUUGUUUCAUUCUUUUAUUCGGUUCUUAAUUGUUAGUACCAUGUGGGUAGUGUAGUACUAUACUGUCAGAAAUAAAUUUAUGACUUCAUUUGAAGUCGCAUUCAAAUUUAUAUUAUUAAAUCAUAAUUAUUAAUUUCGAUCUCGUCAGAUUAUUAAUUAAGUGUAAGAUCAACUAUAUAUAAUUAUAUAUAUUCUUUAUAUUGUCAUAAGUCAACAAUAUCCCUUUGGGUUUAGUGAAUAACUCCAACGAAAGUAUGAAAUCGAUAAUCAAAUACAUAAGCCACCUUUGUAAUUAGUCAAAAUUACAAAAAUAUUCUACAACCGGGGUAUUAUAAUGGGGGAGUAUUUUGAUAUUUCACCACUAUAUAUACGUAAAAUUACUUUAUAGAAAUUAAUUAUUAAAAAAAUAACCAUUUAAAGAUUCAGUCACAAAUUAACAUGUGGAGAUCACAAACAAAAUGUAACCAUAAACUUCAAAUUAAUUUGAUAAUUAUGAUUGGAGAUGAUGAAUUAAACAGUAUUAAAAUACUAUUUAAUUCAAAUAUCAAAUGAGCAUUUGAUAAGUCAAUUUAUAUGUUUACGUACCGUUAGAGUUGCUCUGGAUAUCUAAUUUCAAAAAGCUUUAAGAUCUUAAAUUUUGAUUGGAAAAUAUAUUUAUUUGUUUUUGGAUCACAAACAAUAUAUAUAUAUAUAUAUAUAUAUAUAUAUAUAUAUAUAUAUAUAUAUAUAUAUAUAUAUAUAUAUAUAUAUAUAUAUAUAUAUAUAUAUAUAUAUAUAUAUAUAUAUAUAUAUAUAUAUAUAUAUAUAUAUAUAUAUAUAUAUAUAUAUAUAUAUAUAUAUAUAUAUAUAUAUAUAUAUAUAUAUAUAUGAAAAUAGGUUAUCCCACAUAUGACUUCAACGAAAAUUUUCUGUUCUAUUUGGGUCCAUUAGCUACCAGGCCCGGCCCUGGGGUGGGGCGAGCAGGGCCCACGCCCAGGGCCCAAUUUUGUAAGGGGCCCAUUUUUAGUUGUUUUUUAUAUAUAUAUACUAAAUUUUUAUGUGUGAAAAAAAAAUUUUCUAUUGCAUAAAAAAAGUUUAUUCUUCUAUUGUUUAAAAAAAAAUAUUUUAUUUAUAAUUUUAAAGCUUAGUUUAAAAUAUAUACAAUUUAAAAAUCUUUAUUUUAAUCAAACAAAAUUAUUUCAUACAUUUCUAACAUUUGUUUUAUAAAAAAAAUAUUUAGAUACGAUAAUGUUUCCAAUAUUUUAUUGAUAAUGAAAUUUAAAUUAAUAAAUAUUUAUCUAUAUUAUUUCAUAAAAAAAAGGAAAAAAAAAAAUAGUCGGGGCAUUAAGGGCACUAAAUAUAUUCUCGCCCCGGGCCCCCGAAUACGCCGGACCGGCCCUGUUAGCUACAUUCCCAGAGGCGAACCUAGGGAAUUUUCGGUUGGGGCCUAGAAUAUUUUGUUGGACGAAAAUAGUAUAAUAUUUUAACUUUAGCGGACGCGGAUAUUUUUUUGGACAAAAAUAAUAUAAAAUUUUAACUUUAGGGGCUAAAGUAUAUAAAUUAAUAGAUAAAUAACACAAAAUAUUAAAAAAAUAAUAAAAAAACAAGUAAAUUUUUUUUUCCUGUAGUGGCGGCCCCCCAAGACUACCUUGAGUCCACCCCUGGACAUAGGGGUGAAAGUCGGAUGGAUCGGAUCGGAAUUAGCCUUUUCGGAAAAUUUCCAAAAAGUUUCGGAAGUACAAAAUCAAUUCCAAUUCCAAUUCCAAAAUCUUCGGAAUCUAAAAAUUCAUUCCAAUUCCAAAAGGCCUGGAAAUUUCGGAAUUUCGGAAAAAAAUCGAAAAUCACAUAAGCUUUAAAAUUUCAAAACUUAGCCGAAAUUUUCUACAAUGUUAAUAAUUUUUCGAAAAUAAGAGCAUCCACGUCGAUAAAAGUAAAACUAAUAACUACUAAAUUUCAGUUCAAAAAAGUAAAUAAAAAUGAACACAACAUAAUAUCCAAUAAAACUUCUAAUUAACAACAGUUCAUUAUGUCAAAAUCCUAAAACAAAACUUAUAGGUGUAUUUUUCGGAAAAUAAGUAUUAUAUAAUAUAUACUAUUUAUAGGUGUAUUUAAAAAAAAAAAAAAUCGGAAUUUUUCGGAAUUAAUUUCGGAAUCAAAUCGGAUCGGAAAUCAGAAAUUCCAAAUUUAUUUUAUAUAAUUCCAAUUCCAAUCCAAAAAAAUCGGAAAAUUUCGGAAGUCAGAAUGAAAAAAGUUGUUCCAAAAUCGGAACUUUUCGGAUUGGAACCGGCAGAAAUUGGAAAAUCCGUUCCAACUUGCACCCCUACCUGGACAUCCCCUCAUCAUUUUUUUAAAUAUAACUAGCUUAGACUCACUUUGUUAUUUGCAUUUAAAAUUAAGGGAUUUUUAUGCAAAAGUCCCCAACCAAGCAUGUUUAUUAUUCUAGGUAUAGGGGACAUAUCUCUUUCACCAAUAAGCCCAUCCCUUUAAUAUUUAUUAUAACUAAAGGAAACAUUCAUGUAUAUCCCAAUAUUACCCUCAAUCAUUUAUACCAAAUUCUUAAUUGUAAUCCAAAUUAAUCAAUUUUGUCCAUAAAAGUUCAAUUUUGACCACAAAAAUUCAAUUUUGACUUUUUUUUGGAGUAUAAUUUAAUAUGCUCCAAUUUCAUCCUUAACUUAAUUUAAUCUCAAUUUGACCCCAAAUUAUUAAAUUUUGACCCAAAAAUUUUUUUUUUCAAAAACUUUUUUUUGCCGCCGGAUUCCGGCGUUGACUUUUUAAACUUUUUUUUUUUUUUUUUUUUUUUUUCCUUCCGGAUUUUUUUUGCGGAUUCCGGCGUUGACUUUUUUUUUUUUUUUUUUUUUUUUGGCUUUUUUCUUUUUUUUUUUCUUUUCUUUUCUUCCGGAUUUUUUCGCCGGUUUCCGGCGGUCUCUUUCUUUAGUGUUUUUUUAAGUUUUUUUUUUUGUUUGGUUUGUUUUGUUUUUCCACGCCCGCCGCUACACGUUGACCGUAAUUGUGCUGUCACUGACAGUAAUUUAGCGUAAUUAUACUGUCAAUGAUAGUUAAUUAACGUAAUUGUACUGCCGUUGACAUUACAUUUAUGUAAUUGUGCUGCCGUUGACAGUAAAUUAAUGCAAUAUUAUAUUUUUUAUUUAUUAUUAUUUUUUUUUAUUUUUUUUUAUUUGUUGACAAGUCAACGUAAUUAUAUUACUGUCGUUGACAGUAAAAUAACUGUAAACACAAUAAUAUUACUGUCAACAACAUCAAUAUUAUUAUUUUUUUGGGGUGUUUGUUUUGUUUGAGUUAUUCACGGAGUAACGUAUUAAUAUUACUGUCUAUUAUUGUAAUAUUACUGUAAACACAAUAAUAUUACUGUGGUUGACGGUAAUAUUACUGUUGUUAUAGUAAUAUUCCUGUCAACCACAUCAAUAUUAUUAUUUUGUUUGGAUUUUUUGUUUGUUCGAGUUAUUCACGGAGUAACGUAAUAAUAUUACUGUCUACUAUUGUAAUAUUAUUGUUGCUAUAGUAAUAUUACUGUCACUCACAGUAAUAUUAAUUCUUUUGGUUUUUUUUAUUUUGUUUACAUUUGUUGAACGGACAACAUAGUAAUAUUACUUUAUUAUACAAUAAUAAUGAAUUUUGUUGUGUUAAUAUUAAUGUGCUAGAGAUUAAUAUAGCAAUAUCAAUGUGUUAAACUAUAGUUUAGUUAAUUUUACUGUGUUUAACAGUAAUAUAGUUAAUAUUACUGUCAUUCACAGCAAUAUUGCUGUUUAAACGGAAAAAAAAAAAAAGAAAAAAAAAAAAAAAAAUUAAAAAGUCAACGCCGGAGACCGGCGUUGACCGCCGGUCACCGCCGGAAUCCGGAAAAAAAAUCCGGAAGGAAAAAAAAAAAAAAUUAAAAAGUCAACGCCGGAGACCGGCGUUGACCGCCGGUCAACGCCGGAAUCCGGAAAAAAAUCCGGAAGGGAAAAAAAAAAAAAAAAAAAAAAAAUUAAAAAGUCAACGCCGGAAUCCGGCGGGAAAAAAAAGUUUUUGAAAAAAAAAAAAUUUGUGAAAAAAAAAAAGUUUUGGGUCAAAAUUGAAUAAUUUGUGAAAGUUGGGGUCAAAUUGAAGUUAAAGUAAGUUAAGGAUGAAAUUGGAGCAUAUUAAAGUAAGAGGGGUUAUUUUAGUCCUUUACAUAAAUCUGGACCAUGUGUGGACUUAUUGGUAAAGGAGAAUAUUGUCUGGAUCUCUUUAUGAAUAAGUUCCCACUGAUGGGCUUAUUUGUAAUAUGCCCUAAAAUUAAAAGACUCCCCUAUUUUCUCAUAAUCCUAUUUUACCCUUAUAUUAUUUCAAUUCUCCUCCCUUCUUAAUCACUAUCUAUGUAUCAUUCUAUUUUCUACCUUUUUUUCUUUUGAAUAAUUUUUCCUUUUAUAAAAUUCAUUUUUUUUAAUAAAUUCGUCUUUUUCUCCUGGCAGAUUUACCACUCGUAAACAACUACAAAUUACAAUAAUCAUAAAUUACAGUAAUCGAUCAAGUGCAAAUGUUAUUAGAUAAUCAACUAUAUUUUAUUAUAUAACAACGACUAUAAAAAACGACUAUCAAAACAACCAAAGUUAACUAUCAAUAAAAACUUGUGUAGUGUAUUGCAUAAUCAACUACAAAUUAUUUUCAUCAACUACAAAUUAUUUUCACCGCCAAACUCUAAUGCAACAAAACCUAGAUCGCGACCCAAAACCAAACCCUAGAGCCAUACGCCCCAUAAGCAAGCGCGGCCAUAAGUUUAUGGUCGCACUCGCCGUCCAUCGCAGCAGUCGUGCGAGCCCUAGCCACCAACCCACCACAUUAUUUAAGCUAGUGAGGGUGGUACCUCAAAUAAACCAAAUAUAUAAUUUUCAUCAAUUAUUCAAUUUUGACUCUAAUUUUGACCUCACUGUUGUUGAUUGCCGGUCUUCGGGGUUGACUUUUUUUUUUUUCCUGAUUUUCUUCCACCGCCUCUGACCGAUGGCCAACGCCGGUCUCCGGCGUCGUUGACUUAUUCUUUUAAUCAAAUUUUAUCAAUUAGUGCUUAUGAAUAUUGUCCGAAAUAACAAGUCGAGUAUAUUGGAGAGAUAAAUUAUAAUACUUAGCCGAUCAUGCAUAGGCUAAGCUUAUUGUAGAAAUUCUUUGAUCAUCUUGUAUUAGUUGUAAUUAUAUUUUCCAUUCAGUAGACUACGAUGCAUUUGAUAAAUACUUCAAGUAUUUGUUACCAUGCAGUGUUUAACUUGAGAGUUGUGCCAUGAUGUCAAUUAAUUAUUUGAUUGUCCAAAUACUUUCCAUAUUUUAGUAUUUGUAAUCAAUUAUUGCUUAUACGGUCGUCUUACAUUCUAUACUUAAAUUGACAUACAGAAUAUCACGAAGAUAAUUUUUUUCUGCCAUAUUAUAAUAGAGUUUAUGUCGACUUAUUUUCACCUAUAGCUAGAAGGAAUUAUUCAGGUGAACAUAUUGUUUUGUGGCAAUAACCCUUCGAAGUGUUUUUCAAGAAAGCGAUAUUUGAUAUAAACUGUUUCUGUUUUGGCUGAUUGGUGUUGUUUAUCAUUGCUAGAAUGUACUCAUAAGAAACAGUACUUUUUUAAGCCUGUGUCGCUUUUAAAACCUAAUUACGUUAGAAAUUCGCGUGAUCUCCUACCAUUUGAAACAUAAAUUGAGUUUGAACUCAAAUUGAGUCCUGACUGCUUUUCCUUUGAAACUUUAAGCUAUAUAAAGAAUCCCUCCAUCGUUUCUUGGUAAUCUUGCUAAACACUUCGAAACGAAUGCAGGCCUAUUAUUGAAUGUUUAUACCAAUUCAUUCUCUUUUUAAAUUUUGAAAUAUUGAAAUUGCUACUCUAAUUUAAUCAAGUUUUAAAGCUUCGGGUACUUAAAACACGCUCUUAAUUUACACUCACCCUAUUUUCUAAUAUUUUCGUAGGUCUCAUUAAUCAAAGGAAGCUGUAUUUACAAACAAGGUUUGAGUAUUUUUGUUAAUAAAUUGAAUUUUAUUAAGUAAUAAAUUUAUUUCAACCCCGUGCAUCGCACGGGUCAAGUUACUAGUUUCUAUAACAAAAAAGAGUUGCACAUUUGAUGUGGGAAAUGUUAUUUGAUUUGUGUGUAUUUCGAAAUGUGAAAUAAUUAAUAAAACUUGGACAUAAUUUCGACAGUGAUUUGAUACAAAAAUGUCGUCAAGGUAAGAACUCGAUUAUUUCUCCUUCAUACAAAAUUGUCCCGUGCAGUGUUCUCAGUUUGCUGCAAUUGUCAGGAAAAUAUAAUGAAUGUUUCGGUUCCGACAAAGUAGCACAAAACAAUUCUUGGAACACGACGACGAACAAAACGACAUUUUGGAUUUUUUUACAAGAUAUGAAAAUGAAGACUCGAUAUUUGCAGCAAUAUGUAAUGAGAGACUAGAAAUGCUUUGAUACAGAAAAAUGAAUUGAAAUUGAAUUCCAUGAAUUCAAAUUGAUUUCCAUUGAAUCGAGUUAGUCAAAUGGUAGUCAAAACAAGGUAGCCCAUUGAUAAGCACUUUGCACCUAGGACCUACUUGGUCAUGGAUUCGAGAUACCAAGAGCAAAAUUGAAAAACCAGUAACUAUCCUCCUCACCCGAUAAAAAAAAAAAAAAAGAAAAAAGAAAAAGGAAGUUAGUCAAAUGAUGGAUUUUGGAAUGUAUUUGUAGAUACUUCGAACGUUAUAUCUACAAGUCACAAUUUUUAGGAAAAUGAGCACUUGGAAAUGCAUCACAAUUAUAACCACAAGUCACAACUCUUAGGAAAAUGAGCAAGGUAUCACACCUUAUCACAUUAUUAACACAUAUUUUCAAAUGGUGUUUAAUCAACUCCAUAUUUUUUUCAAAGGUGAUUAUUCACCUCUUCGUUUCCAUUCAUUAUUUGAACUGAUUUUAUUAAUUUCUCAUUCAUCAAAAAUAAUUUUGAGAAACUAAAUUUACUCAACUUAAGUAAUCAAUCAAAACUGAGUCAACACUCAACAUCUUCGAACAGUAUAUAUGUGUGAUUAUGGUUGUUAAAAUCUUUCGGUUACUAUUCAAAUUUUACGAUUCGAUUGGUUUGUUGUAUGCUCUCCAAUUCAAAUCUUAGAGUAAAAUAUGAAAUGUCAAAAAUCCUAAUUGAAUCUUUUAAAUUUCAUGAUUGUACGAUACAAUUCGUAUGCCAACUAUUUUUGUGAAUUAAAAAAAUGUAUUAUAUUUUGUGAAAAAAAAUACAAUUAGAAAAAUACUUAAUUAUUAGAUUAAUUUAAGUUAAAGUAAUUCAACAUGAUUUAUUCAUACUAUCAUUAACAGGGCCUUACACUCAUCAAAGUCAACAAGACAUCUUCAGGGUUUCCAACCUCCCAUCCGCCGUAUGGGCUAAUUAUCGAUGCGAUUAUUUAGGAUUAUGGAAUUUUCGACCAUAAGAUUUCGGAUGCAAGGGAUUUUGUGUUACGGUCUGAUCGUAUGUAUAUGGUCCUCUCGUGGGUUAGAGUUAGAUAGAAAUUAUUUUUCCUUUUUUUAAUAGAUUUUUGUAUAGGGCUAUCUCCCAUCAUUUUUAUUCCUUUCUUUGGGGGUAUUUUUUUUUUUCUUAUGCUGACUAAUGAAGAUUUUAACAAGGCCCCCUUCUUACCGUUAAAGUAUUUAAUCUAUACUAUAUAUAAAAAAAGGAGGAAUGCUAGGAAGGUUUCUUUCAUUUUAUAUAGGGACAAAAUUAUCCCUACAUAUAUUUUAGAGUUUUUAGAAAUCAAAGGACAAUGACGUAAUUUAGUUCCAUUUGGGGGGUUUUUUCCAAGGUUUUUUCAAUUUUAAAAAAAUUUUUUUUUCAAAUUUAGGGGGUUUUUUUUGCCUAUUAAAUUGGUUUUGGAUAAACUUUGGGGGGGUGGGAACCAUGAAAUUUUUUUUUUUGGUUUAAAAAAAAUAAUUUUGGGAAAUUUUUUUAUUUUUUUAAAACCCAUUAUUUUUCCGGUCCCCGGGAAAAAACAUUUUUGAGGGGAAAAUCCCUUUCCCUUUUUUAUUUAACCCCGGAACCCUUUUCCCCCCUAAUUUUUUAAAGGGGGGGGAUUAACCCCCCCCCCCCCCCCCCCCCCCUGACACUUGUACAAUUGCCCCAAGGCAACCUUCUCCGUCAAUUUUCAUGAUUUUGACAUUGAGGCCGUUUGGGCAAGGUCUGAAAAUUAAAGAAACGCCCACUCACCUGGUUAAAUAGUUUGCAUCGUUUUUCCACUCUCCUCUUCCAUCAAAUUCCCAAAUCACUUUCGCUAGAAAAAAAACCCAGCAGCUUUUUUCGUGAUCUUUGGUUGUUUUUUUCCACAAUAAAGCUAUGGCUGGAAACAGUUCACCACAAUUAGAAAGUAUGGGCUCAAGUAACAUGAGAAGAAGCUGAAGUAGCGGGAACUCAUCAACUAAUUUUAAUGAAAAUAGAGUCAAUUGCUAUGGUAAUUUUUUUAAGGUGUAAUAUGCUUUCACAGAGAAUAUGCACGUCCUGCAACUAUCUAGUGAAUUAAUGUGACUUUUUCAAAUGGGACGAUCCUCCUUUGUUUGAAUAAGCUCGAGGUUGUGGUUAUAUUCUUAACAAAAGGAUGUUAGAGCUUAAGAAAAAAACGAAGAGCUUCAGCAAAUGGUUGAACAAUUUUCACGUGCAAACGAGGAACUGAAGGCAAAAAGUUUAGAAUUGAGACUGAAAACAAAAAAAAAACUUGAACACAGAAUUCACCAUUCCUGUAAUUUUCAGACCUUGACUAACGGCUUCAAGGUCAAAUCCUGAAAAUUGGCGGAGAGGGUUACAUUGGGACAAUUGUACAAGUGCACGGGGUAAAUCGAUGCAAUUGAGAGUACGAGGGGAUAAAGUGAUUCGAAGUCAGAGGACGAAGUGAGAAAGUGAAAUUCGCCCUCACUCAAUAAAUUUAUUUAUUAAAUUAAAAUAUGAAAUUUAAAAGUAAAUUCUUUUAUUGUUUAUGGUAGAUGAAAGCAGGGCGUAACUAAGGCACCCCAAGGGGGUAGCUGCCCCUCCAGAAAAAAUAAAAAAAAUGAUUUUUUCAUUAGUUUUUUAUUUUUAUUUAUAUAUUUUAGUCUAUUUGCCCCUAAAAAUAAAAAUAACCACUUAUAAUGCAUAAUUUUAUUUUAACUUAAGGAGUUUCAAUGGUUGUAUAUGUUUAUAUUACAUUAGCUAGACUUUUGAAUUAUUUUUGCUUUCUAAAGACUUAAAUUAUGAAUUAUUCUUGAUAAUUUCUUGGGUAAAUUACACCCACACCCCUGAGGUAUGCUUAAAUAACUGUAAGGUCCCUGUGGUAUCGAUAAUUACACUCACCCCCUGAAAGGUACUUAAAAACUCUAACGGGAUAAUGUCUUGGAUACCUUAUGCCGAUAGGGAUUCUAAUGGACUAUUAUUUUUAGCUAGUUAUGGAGAUAACAUAAAGUUAUGGCGAGUUAUGGGGUGACAUGACUCCCCCAAUAUUUCUUAAAUCACCCAUAACUUUUUGUUGUAUUCACCACUUCCUGAAACCAAUAGUCCAUUAGAACCCUAUCGGAAUAAUGUAUCCAAUACAUUAUCCCGUUAGAGUUUUUAAGUACCUUUCAGGGGGGUGAGUGUAAUUAUCGAUACCACAGGGACCUUACAGUUAUUUAAGCAUACCUCAGGGGUGUGGGUGUAAUUUACCCUAAUUUCUUUAUACCACAAUUCUUAAAAUACUACAAAAGUUUUUAAUAAUAUUUUAUAUAAAAUAAAUUUCUAUUUUUUUCUUAAUAAGAUAUCACUGCUUGUAUAUACGAAAAAUGGUUAUAAAUUAGUAUUUUGUCGUGUCGAAUAUAUGAUGUUUUUACGACGGUUUCUUAUUUUCUCAAUAAUUUAAUUAUAAUUGUAUUUUCUCAAGUGAUUCUAUUUCUAAUACAUUAUUUAGAGAGGUGUUGCAGAAAAAAUAUAUCAUAAUAAAAAAAUAAUUGUAUAAGAAAAUAUUUUUCAGUAAAUACUACAACUUGAUUAAAUAAAUGAUGAGGCUAGAAUUUGAGAAAAAAAGGUCACCAAAAAUGGAGAUGAAAGAAGAAGAAUAAUGAUAAUUGUUACACUGAUCUAUAAAAGUUUUUUUAGUAAUGAAUAUGAAGAUUUUGUUAUGCACUGUGCUACAUCAAGAUCAAGCAAAAUCAAUAUGAUCGGAAAUCUACAUUAACAUAAUACUAAAUCAUAUCACUAAUUUAUUAAAUAUUUAUUUAUAAUAUAGCUUAAUUUUAAUGAAAUAAAUUAUUAAUAAAUAUAUAAAUAAUUAACAAAAAUCAUAAACCACGUGCAACGCACAUGUCACUUACUAGUGGAAUAAAAAGAUUGGUAAAAAACAAUUAUAGAAAAUUAAGUUAACAAGUUUUGUUUGCCAUAGAUCGUUAUACUCUAAAGUGUAAACAAAAUAGUUGUGGUAUAACAUUUUUAUUGUUCUGCUCAAUUAUAGUUACAUUUUAAAAUCAUGGCAGUUCGAACGGAGCCCAUUUGUUUAUCAUUGAGAUUUGCUCCGGAGCCAGCGGUGGAGAAGAGAUAGGGCAGCUUCAGGUCUUCGUAACAGAAACUCCCAACUUGACACGCCAUCCUCUUCACCUAACCUCAGAUGGGUCGCUAUGAUCAAAUCCGGGUCAGGUAUUCGGGCUGCAGCAGUGGUUGUUGUUGCUGAAAAGCAUAGGAGAAGAGCUUGAACGUGGAAUUAUUGUUGUUUUCUAUGUGUGUGUGGGCAAUUUAUUGUUACUUUCGUCAAUUUUUUUAUUAAUUGUAAAAAAUGCGGGUAAAAUUGACAUUACAUGCUCCAUUAGGCAUCCGCAACCAUCUAAAAUGGGAGGUUUCUACAAAUUUCCAACAAAGAGGGGACGGAUCUGUAAUUUCUCUAUCUAACAAGAAGUCCAAGUGAAAGGGGUUUGCUAAUAUCAGUCGUUUUUUUUCCACUCGCAGUGCAAAAUAAUUCAUGUUUUUUUGUAUUUUUCAAAUCUUCUCCAAAUACCCUCUUAAAUUUUGAAACUUUGCAAAUCGUAUAUUUUUUCUAACAAUAUCAGUUCGAGCACAACAAUUACCAACAUGAAUGAAAGCAGCUUUGAUUUUGAGGUGAAAAUACACCGUUAUUUUGUGCCAAUUUUCAACAAUUUUAAGCAUUUCGUGUUGUUUUUCACGAAAUUUAAGCUUUAAUUUUGUGUAUUACGACACGAAAUGUAUCUUGUAAUCCGUUUAAUGUUUGUUUCGUGAGUUUGUGGACAACAUCUUUCUUCGGAUUUCAUAUCAUUUUCCACAAAAUUUUACCUUGCAUUUCGUGUAAAAUUUCACGAAAUCCCUUAAAUAUUUGUUUUUAAUUUUAAUAUGUAUGCAGGAACAAAGAGAAGAAUCUCACGAUCAUAGUCCCUUCUUCUAACGUGGUAUCGUGUUUGAUAAUAGAGAGGCGUUAACUAUGUGGGUAAAAGACACAACAAUUAGUCAUCAUCAUGAACUGAUUAACCAUUGUAAACCACAGACAUUUCAUGUUUUAACCUAUGUUAGAUAUUGUCCGUUCAAGUUAACUGGCAAAGAGUCAGAUGAUGAUGGAUUAUGGCGAUUGAGUGUGAGUAAUGGUAAUCAUAACCAUCGGCCUGUUUUAAAGAUUAACUUAUGUUUUGGAAUGUUUAAAUUUAUAAUGUUGUGUUUUGUAUUUUAAUGUUUAACUUAUGAUUUGGAAUGUUUAAAUUUGUAAUGUUGUGUUUUUUAUUUUUAUGUUUAACUUAUGUAUUGGAAUGUUUAAAUUUUUAAUGUUGUUUUUGUAUUUUAAUGAUUAAAUUAUGUUUUUGAAUGUUUAAAUUUGUAAUGUUGUUUUUUUUUUUUUUUUAAUGUUUAAUGUAUGUUUUGGAAUGUUUAAAUUUGUAGUGUCGUGUUUUGUAAUUUAUUGUUUUAUUUAUGUUUUGAAAUGUCUAAAUUUUUUUCAAAUUUUUAAACUUGUAUGUAGUUACCAAAUUCAUGAAAUUAGUCACAUACUCACCUAUAAUAUAUAAGAAAAUCAAGUGACAAGUAAAUUAAAAUACAAAACAAAUUAGUAAAUUUAAUAGUUCCAAAUAAUAAUAAUUAAAUAAAAAUUGGUGUACCACUCCAUGAAGUGCUCGUCAACUUCUCCCGUUGCCGUGCCGUCUUGUAGUCGUUACUUCGAAUGGAAUGAGCUUGGACCAUGUCCCACAUUCCACUCGGAGAUCGGUACUUGACCUUGUACGAUGCCACCUCAUUUGGACUACGUAAACAUGGCUCCAUCGGUGAAAUCAAGCCGCACGGAAUAUCCUGAACCCACCCGAACUGUCGGACGCAGCGGUCAGGCAUAUACGGCUCUACGACCUAUAUGUAAUAGAUCGUGCCGUGAUAAAGCGAACGAGGUAUCCUCUCAUGUAUAUCCCGACCAUACGGAAACCACUCUAAACAGUUCAAAUAUAAAUACAUAAAUCGAUAAAUUGAAAUAAAUCUAAAAUUUGCUCGACCUUGUCCCGCUUUUGGCGGCAUGUUUAACCUCUUGCAUCGAGGCUGGAAGUCGCGGUACCGAUCGCUCUCCUCUGACAGCUGAAAUCUCGGGAAGCACUCGUAUAUACAGCAAUACAAUAUUUUAUUUAAGAAUAUUUAACUAAAUAAACAAUAGAAUAAAUUAAUUUAAAAACAUUAUGAAAAUAAAAAAUUAACAAAAACAUAUCAAUUUACAGAGGUGCAACCCGCCAAGCUCCUCGACUGUGCUCGGCUGUAUACACCCACCUCCCUGUAUAGAGUGACCAGAUAGGCCGAACUCCACGGAUACGUGCCGACCUGAUCAAGUACGGCAUCCUCGAGCAUGUUCACAUACCACGGCUUCAGCCGAUCACACGUAUUGUCGGGGAAUAAAACUGACCCGAGAAGAAGCACUAGAUAUAUUUGAACUUGGCGUCUCAUGGGCGUGUCGGGUAUCAACAACUGUGCCUGGAUCAUCCUCUAUGUGGGGGCCACCAUGCUUCCAUGCGUCGUUAAUCUCAUCAAGAUCGAGGUUCAUAAUCUCGGAUAAUGAAUACAUGCAUUUUGUCCGCUCGGUGUCCUCAUCGUAUCUAGGCGCGACCACCCGUCACUCCACAUGAGCACCUAGUAUCAUAUGGACAUCUGGAGAGUGAUGGUCAUCUCUCCCCACGGCGUAUGGAAGUUGUUCGUCUCCGGCUGCCACCGCUUCACGAACGCAAACAACAACGGACCAUAUAUGCGUUGUAUGAAAGAGCGGGCUAGGGGGUACAAAUCGGUCAUUCGCAGAAAAUGCUUGUCUGCAGUGACAUCUAUACCUAACAGAGCCAGGGCAUCUCCAAUCAUAUCGUAGUUGAAAUAGGCCAGGGAACUGAUAGGGGACUCCACUCGUCCAACUGGAUGUUCCUACAAUCAUUUAUUCAAAACACAUAUUAGUUAAUCAACUAUUAAAUUAUAAGAUAUAACAAUUAAGAUAUUAAAAUUAAAACAAGUAAUUAACUUACUUUUCCCCUCCAAAUGUAUGCCGAACGGGCCACCGGGAAAUGGACCAUCUAGCACAAACAGAUUGACACGACUACGAAUUCGACUCCCACAACCUCCACGGCCCAGUGCUCGACCUCCCCGAGCUACAACCUUGGUCUCGUGAAGGGAGUACACCGCCUCCUCCUCCUCCAUAGCAUGGGAAGGCCCGACAUCGGCAUGUGCAGCCGAUGGCCCAACUACACCAGCUCUUUCAGCCUCUCUCUUACGUCGUGUAGACAUAAUCAUCCGCUCGCGCUCUUGAUGCUCAGCCUCAACACGAAUACGAACAGCUCGCAUAAGUGCCUUUGGCUUGCCUUUGCCUGCGAUAUGUCAAAUAAGACAUUAAAAAAAUUAAUUUAAUGUAUAAAUAAUAAUUAUAAUAAGUAACAGAAAAAUGCAUUGUUUCGUGGAGAAAAUUACGAAACAUAAGCUUCUAUUUCGUGAGAAAACUCAAGAAACGUAAGCUUAUAUUCCGUGGUUUUCACCACGAAAUGUAAAAGAAACUGCAUAAAUACAAACAUUUCGUGUAUAGUACAAAAAAAAAAGAAGAAAACACUUAUGUUUCGUACGAAAACAUACGAAACUUAAGUUUCAAUUUCGUCGUUUUAUACACGAAACGUAGAGGAAACCAAAAAAAUAAUCAACAUUUCAUGAAAAAAAUCACGAAAGUCAUUGUCUAAUGUUGCGAUCUUUUUCACGAAACGGCGAUUUUUUUUCGGUGUCUUCUGAAUCGAUGAAAUUGCACUGAUAAUUGAUGUAAUUUUCUAAUAGACAACUAUAAAACAAUGGAUUGACGACAUGGAGUUCGAGUUUUACCAAAAAUAGUUGUCGGAUUGCUCGUUUAAUUCGCGCGAAUUCAAAGAGUGUUGGAAAGAGUUUGAGAGAAUUUUGAAUUUUUUUGAAAAAAAUACAAAUGAAGCAAAAGUGUACUACAAGGUGGUAAAAGUUGCGCUAUGAAUAGGAACAUUAUGUAAAUUUAAAUAGGAUUAAUGUAAUCUCUUUGAUUGGGUUCAAUUCAAACACAUAGGCCAAAUUACUUUUUUUUUUCCUGUUCGGGCUUUAAUCAAGUGGACCUUUAAUUUUUUUGAGACAUUUGGGCCCCGUUUGGUUGGCAAGAUAAGAUUAAAUAAUCUAAUGAAACCCAACUAUUUUAUUGGAGCUUGAAACGUCCAACAAAAAAAACUCAUUAGAAGGCAAGAUAAACCAAGAUAAGCCAUGAUUAUAUAAUUUUUGCGGGUCGACCCAGCAAUUUAUUGGGAAUACCAAACAACAAAUUAAGUCCAACUAUUUAGUUAAUCAUGGCUUAUUUUUGCAACCAAACGGGGCCUUGGUCUUUUUGAUAACAUUUCAGAUAUUAAAGAAGCCCAACAAGAAGGCUCAGUUCGGCACAAGACACAACCAAAUAUGGAGUUUGGUCCUGUUGUAACAACUCGACUGCGUAUACUUCAAGAUUAUUCAAUAUGAAUUUUAUCAUAUUGUCAAGGACUCUUGUGUGAAAGAUAUGUGAUCUAAGGUAAAUAUAUAGUUCUAAUAAAUUAAGAAUUGUAAAUUAGGGUAAAUUUUGAGUUGUAAUUGAAUCCGAAAACGCCUCUAAGUCCCUUCUAUAAGUAGUACAUGACUUAUUGUUCAUCAUAAAGGGUGACAAUAAUAUGGAAUAACACACGUUUCUUUUGCAAAUUGUCUUUCUUUUCUUUUAUGCCCUAGAAAAGUAUUUUUGUUAUACUUUUCCCGAUGCGUGCAAAAUCGUCAAAAACCAAGUGGCUCCAUCUGUGGGAAAUAUAAUUGAGUUUAUGGCGUUGAGUUAUGAAAUGAUGGUUGGAAUUACGCCUAACAAUUUGGAGUCGAAGUUCGGAGAGAAGAUACCGGUGCAAGGCUGGAGAUCAGAAACAUGUCUUGGAGACAAAGUAAAGGAGCUAGGAGGGACGUCUGAGUCACCCAUGCCUCACGACACGCUACUAGGAUACACGACCUCGACCGGCUGUCCCCAAGAGCUUCGACGAAAUGAAGUCACAGAGGAACGAAGUAGAUGACAAAUAUGCUAAGCUACGACAACAAGAUGCGAAGAAGAAGGAAUUGGGGGAGAGGUUAGCCUUCAAGAAGGCCGAACAACAACGUUUGCUAGGGAGCGGCAUGUUGGAGUAAAACGAUGCCACUUUCGCCAAGUGUCAUGAAGAGGAGGAAUACGUGGAAAAAAAAAAAAUAUAUCAAGCCAUCAUGUGCAAGAUUGUGGAAAACCAGUUAGUGGAGCAAGCUCAAAUAGAUGAGAUUCAGAGAGAGUUGCAGAGGGACGAAGACCAAGGACCGGAGGUGAGAUAUUAUGAUAAUAUGCCUCAUGGACGAGUGGAGAUCCCCAACACUAUCAAACGAGAGCAGCCUACGUAGAGGAGGAAGUCGACAAUUAUGCCUAUGUCCCUAAGAGUAACUACCAACAGAUGUUGGACCACGAAUACCGAGAGAAGCUAUUUAAGAAAAGAUCUUUUGGGGCCACAAUAAAUCGAGAUGUCGAUGGGAGCCCGUUCACUAAUUAAACAUUACUUUAUUUUUCAAUAUAUUUUUUUAUAAAUAUACUUUUCAACAUAUAUAAAAAAAAUAUUAUUUUAUUUUCAAUUUUUUAUUCCGAAACACUAUUUUCAAAAUAAAAUGGUAUAUUGAAAAAAAAAUCUUAUCAAUUAUACAUAGCCAAUGUUAUUUGAAUCUCCAAUCAAAUUUUAGACUAUAAAUCAUUAAUCAUUCUAAAAUUCUUAUUCUUAAAAAGAUUACUUUAGAUGAUAAAAAAGGAGAUUGUAUAAACUAUUUCAUCAAGUUCAAUAUUGAUUCAGUUUUUUUUUUCUUGUAUCAUGUAAUUUCCAUACGGAAAGUUCAAUUUGCACCCCUGAAUUAGUAGGGUCGUACCGAGCACCCGCAUGUAUUAUAAAACGUAAUAAAAUGGUCCCUUUGCUUACAAUCUAUUAGUGAAUAGUGACAUGGUAUCUUGAUUUUAUGGUUUGUGGCAACUUUAUGAUAGUUUGAAAUCUUUUUAUGCUUUCACCCCCUGAUUGGUAUAUAUAGUUGUGUUUGCACUGAAAUGCCGUUUUGAAAAGCAUGGGACCUAAAUAAAAGUUUUAAUUAUUUCAGAUUGACAGUACACAAGGAAUAAUCGCAUCAUAAGGGACCAAAUUCCAUUCUUACAAAAUAUUAUGUGAAGCCCUAAUUUUCCUUUCCUAGCCAAAACCACCGUCACCACCACUCCUCUCUUACUGUCAAUCUCGCAACCACUCCACAACUAAGAUAUCAUCGCGAAAACUACAUUGGCACAUACCUCACGCCACCGUAGGCCGCCGUCGGAUUCUCGACAACCUCUCGUGAAAAUUGUGUAUUGACGUCUAGCAACUAAACCUCAUGAUUCCCUAGAUACAAAUGAAGUGCCUACAGGAACCGUGUGAUAUAGUUAACAGGGCCGGCUCUAGUGCAUAGGCAACUUAGGCCUAUGCCUAGGGCCCCAAACUAUUUGUAAUAUUCAUGGGACCCCCUAAACUAUGUGUAUUAUAAAUUAGGGCCCCCAAAUUUGAAAUAUAUUUUCUAUGUUUUCAUAAAAAUAAACAAAAAUAUCUAUAUGAAAGUCAAAUUGUAGAAAAUAUAACAUAAGAUCUAAUAAUUUUAAUAUUUCCCCUACAAAUAAUAAGAAAAUACCAAAAAAAUUAUUUAAUUUUCAUUUGGGCUUGAGUCGGCCCUGAUAGUUAACGCACAAUACGAUCCCUGCGAUACAUAUGUCCCGAUUGAACUAGAGGCAUUGGUUCGCCGAUGCCUCUAUUAAAGUUCAAUAACUGUGUGAAUGUUCUUAGUAUUGUAAUCUAUUUGUGUAUGACUUAGAGAUAUAUAUUUUCCUAAUCAUCACACUGUCAGCUCUGGCUAGAGACUCUAUGAUCACAAACUUAUAAGAACGCAUAGGACAUCCAUGACUAUUCAAGUGAUCAAAUCCCCUACUACAAUACACAAACCUUGCAGCGGUCUUUGGUGGGACCCAGGGACAGGUCACGACACAGCUCGUCCUCUAGUGAAGUCACGGUGAUGUCUGGGUCUAAGGACUCAUGGUGUACAACUAUAUCAUAGAAACCUCUACUCGAUUAUUGGGAACCACUUAGAGAUUUAUAGGACGAGGGUAUUCAGUGAACUCAUCUCUAUGAGCACACCCACUCAAGUAUGUCGAUAUCACAACACCGAUGAAUGAUGAGACGCAGUACACAUACACUAAGUGCUAGUAUGUAAUGGGAAAUGUCGGUAUCCUCAUUAAUGGCAUAACCCGUUGACUUGAAUGUGUAAUAGAGAAAAUGUUUUCUCUAUUCUUUUCGCUCUCAAUUUCUACAAGUCCACCCUUGUAGAGGAAUUAUUGAUCGAUGAUAUACAAUAGAAGAUUGGAGGUUUCCUGAACUUAGAUUCAUUCCCGAAAUUGUUGAGCAGUACCACAAGACAAUUCACCAUAAAUCAACCGCUCAUUCGAUUGCCUUGUUUCACAGUAACUUACUGACUCAUUGAGUUACAAUAAAUCUGAAGGGUUUUUCCAUCUAAUCGACCAUUAUUGCGAUAUUGGCAGAGGAAGAUGGCUACAAAUUUAUGGGCAUCAAUUUUUCAAGGAUUGAAAGCUUGGCGUGGAUCUUCGUUCAUGCGCCAAAGCUGUAAACGAAAAAGGCACACACAAGGUAUUUUGAAAUUCGUAAGUAAGAAUUAGAUUAGAUUUAAUUUCUCAUCAUGAGGAUCUAAUCUGCAUGAUUAUGCUUAAUAAAUAUAAACCAGCUGAAACUGAAUCUCGUUGAAUUAAUAUUUGACUCUUGGGACUCACGAUCACCGUCGUAGUCUGCUGGUUCACUGCCGGAAAUAUGGGUUUCGUGAGUUUCUGGAAUUUUGUAUUAACUUGCCCAAAACGAAAGUAAAUUUAUAAACUAGGUUAUGAAGUAUGUUGAGUUUCUUGAACGUUGUCUUAACUUUCUAAUGGUAAAGAAACUGAAGAAAUUAAGCUGAUAGUCUGGUAUACCCUAUUUUCCUUUUUUACGAUGAAGUAGAAUGAAGAAGAGAGUAAUUUUAAAAAAAAGAAAGAAAAUGGAAGAGAGAAUUGACAGAGAAUGUUAGUGUUUUAAGGGCAAAUAAGUAAAUGCACAAGAAAACUGACGAGUAAUUUUUUGAAAAAUUGACCGUAUAUGACAGGGGAUGUUUUGUUACGUGUCAUAGUUUAAGGGGGUGUUUGUUACAAUCCAUGGGAAAUACCGAAUUUGGGUUCCGAUAAUUUUUAAUUUAAAAUUAAAACUUCAUUUUCACAUGUAUAAUGUGUCUAAAUGGGCUGUAGGUUCACUGAUGAAAAAAGCCCAUUUAGAACUCAACUUGUCCUACAUUAUUCUUUUACAAGAAAUGAACAAUCAAGCUCAUCUAUAAAUAGGAGGUAUUGCUCACCUGGUAAGUUAACUCUUUUUUCGGUGAUAUUUGAGCCUUUGCAAAAUAUCAUUUCCAAUAUUUGACUUGAGAGUCGAAGUGUAAUCGUCGGGCCUACCCCUGGCAAGUCACUUAAUGUCUCGAUUUAUUUUGCAGGAUAUCGAGCAAGUCCUUCCUUACGUGGCAAGGACCCUUUGCAUUCCCAUUAUUGGACUGAAAGACUAGCUUGUUGGCCUUCAAGACCAUUGGGUUGACUCAUUCAUCUCGAAGCAACAUCAAUGUUAGGAAUGAAACACUUUUAUUUAACUUUACGAAAAAAAAAUCCAACGAACAAAAUCUUGUAACAAAUUUCAUCUUAAAACAUAAUCAUAUAAAUUAGGAUUAUCGACAUACCGUUCGCCAUGGUUUCUGAUAGAGAUGAUGAUGAAUGACGACGAUAGCAAUCUACAAGCCUCCUCCAAAUCUCCUUGUGAGAAUCUUACUCGUAGGCACACGUUCUUCUCUCUAUCUCUUUGUUGGUUGAAAUACCUACACGGAAGUGCACGUAUCGUACAAGUAAUAUAAUGGACUAAAAGUUCGAGUAUCAAUCCCACAGAGAAUAUUUAAUUAUCUAAUCCUAGAGGCUAAAUUCUACUAAUUAUUAUCAAGCCCACCCAACACGGUCGAAAGAUGAAUAAUAAACUAAAUUAAACUAAAGAAAUUAAAGCAAAUUAAAAAGACAAGAGCAAGAAAAGAAAAAAAAAAAAAAAAAAGAAGAUUUAAUCAGAGAAAGCAAGCCUAGGAUUUUAUUCUCCCCCCCCAUGUGAUUAUUAAUCCCCCAAUUCCUUCAAUUAUGCAAGUAGAAGUAACUCGGAUUAUUAAUCUGAGAUGCUAAAUUAAUCAUAACCCGUUUCCGCGUGUAUUACGAUUCUAAUAUUGUAGAUUCAAUUAUUGUAUUCCUACGCAAUUAAUUCUAGAACACAACAUUAAGCUUAAAUCUCAAUAACGGCUACCUAAGAGAUUAACUAUAUUUCUAUGUUAAUACCACAAAGGCUCUUCUACCACAAUUCUUAUUAUUAACCCGAUCUUCCGAUUCAUGCGAUUAACAAUAACAUAAAAGCACAUAAAGUGAUCAAGUUCAUGCACUUAAUAAAACAAGUAGAAGAAAUAAUCCAGAAUUAAAACUUGCAUAAAAUCAUAGAAUUGGGUUCAUAAAUCCCACAUAGGGUUCAAAAUAAAAUCCUAGAAAUAAAAGAUUUAGCUACUCAUGAUUAAAGAAAAAACGAAAUUAAAAUAAAUCAUAGACAAUAAAGCUAUGCUUGGAGUCUUUGAAUUCUUCGUCUUCGUUAUUGCUUCUUUGCUCUUGAAAUUGCGUAAAGAGAUGGAUCCCCAAUUGUGUGCUUGAAUUGGUCUAUUAUAGGGUGGAAAAGUUGGAGAGAAAGGCCAUUUCCUUGUGCAAUUAGAAUUCCUUUACUGCGGAUCUACGUCUUCUCGGACGGCCGUCUGGAUUUGUAGUUCAAAUUCCAGACGGCUGUCUCAAUUCCAGACUCUUUGUUGUCCCGAGGAAAAUAUUCGGACGACAGUCCAAAUUCCUUGUGUAUUUUUCGAACGACCGUCUGGGCUCUUGUUCUUCACAUUUUUGACUUCUUCACUUUUCGCUCAUAUUUUCUCCUAAAUUGCAGUUUUGACCCUCUAUUUAUCCAAUUCUUCAAUUUGUACAUAAAACACAAUAAAUCAACACUUUAAGAACCAAUUAUCAGUAUAUAAUAUACCAAAAGCUCAAUUAAAAGAUAUGAUUAAGUGUGAAAAUAUACACUUAACACUCUCCAAUAUCACAACUUACUAAGUAUUCUAUAAGUGAUGGAAUUCUCAAUUUCCCGUGUUGAGGAGAAGAUUUUUGGCGUUGCAAAAGAUGUUCCAACACUCGCAACUUUGUGCUCUCAACUCUGCUCUCAACUCUCUUCUGAAAUGGUAAGAAAUGAACUAGAAUCUUCUCCUAUUUAUAGAGUCCAAGAGCUUCAUGUUCUACACGAAAUAACCACACUAGGAAAGAUAAAGGGAUAGUGGGUUAGUAUAAUAAUUAAAUAGGGUAAAUAGCACUUUACCCCCUUGUAGUUUGGACAUUUUGCACAUGACCCCCUUAUGGUAUGAAUUUAGGCACAUAACCCCCUUGUGGUUUUGACAUUUUGCACAUGACCCCCUUAUGGUAUGAAAUUAGGCACAUAACCCCCUUGUGGUUUUGAAAUUUUGCACAUGACCCCCUUAUGGUAUGAAAUUAGCACAUAACCCCCUUGAUAGAAAAUUGGAAAAGACUAAAUUGCCCGUAUCAAGUCAAAAAUUCUUGUUUUAAUUUAAAAAUAAUUAUUCUAUAAAAUGAAAAGCUUAAUGUAUUUUUUUGUAAAAUGAGAAAUAUAAUAUAUUAUUGUGUUUUUUCUAUUUUAUCGCACAUAUUUUUUUUUUAAUUUAAUUUUCAUUUCAACUUUAGAGAAAUAUUUUUUUUAGAUUUUUCCAAAAGAAUCAAAAGAAUAAAGACUUUGUUUCUUAAAAAAAUUAAAGUUUGAUAAUAGCUAUAAUAUAAUACAUUAUAUAGCAAAUAGUAAUAUAAUAAUCAUAAUUAAUGACAAUGUUAAAGAUUUUCAAAUUUAUUUUUGAAAUCGAAUAAAUUGUCAAUCGUACAAUAAUUAGUAAAAUUAAAGAAAAAAACACAAUAAUAUAUUAUAUUUCUCAUUUUACAAAAAAGUACACUAAGCUUUUCAUUUUAUAGAAUAAUUAUUUUUAAAUUAAAACAAUUUUUUUUGACUUGAUAGGGGUAAUUUAGUCUUUUCAGUUUUCUAUUCAAGGGGGUUAUGUGCUAAUUUCAUACCAUAAGGGGGUUAUGUGCAAAAUUUCAAAACCACAAGGGGGUUAUGGGCCUAAUUUCAUACCAUAAGGGGGUCAUGUGCAAAAUGUCAAAACCACAAGGGGGUUAUGUGCCUAAAUUCAUACCAUAAGGGGGUCAUGUGUAAAAUGUCCAAACCACAAGGGGGUUAAGUGCUAUUUACCCAAUUAAAUAUGUGACAAAAACAUUUAUCCAUUAAGGUCAAAAUAACCGUCCACUAACUCUAAUAAUAAAUCCUAUAAUAACAAUACUUUCGGAAAUAAUAAAAAAUAUUGUAAGUAAAAAACAAUUAAAUCAUAUUUGACUCAAAAGUCAAAUAUUCAACAUAUAAAUUAAUAUUAAUAUUUUGUUGUAAAUAAUAUAAAAUGUAGGUUAUUCCUAUCUUAAGCUACUCGGGGUUUAUAACUGCGCACUAUGCCACUAGAGAUUCUCAACUUACCCAUUAUACCAUAGCUCCCUGCAUGAUGUAUGUAGGAUAUAACUUCCAUGUAACUCCCAUGUAACGUCCUUGUAACUCCCUGUGGUUUGCACCUAUAAAAAUGACAAUCUCCCCUCCCAUAAGAAUCCCACAAUUAUCUCUCUACGAAUCAUCUCUCUUGUGUUGUUGCAUUCUCUGUAUUUUUAUUCUCGUUAUUUACGUUCUUAUGUGUUUCCAGAAUCACUAAAACAAAUAGCUAGAUUAAAUAGUCCAUUUUUUUUUGAAAAACGUUAUUAGCAAGAAGUGCUCGCCGUGAUCGUGAAAAAAAAACCGUUCGAAGGGCGAGGAUACCCGAACAAUUUGCGAUUUGGGUGCUCGUGGAAAUUCAACCGUUUGUGGCACAUGGGUGGUUGAAGAACUUGUGAUCCAUGUUCGUUUGUGAAACGGUGAUCUUGUCCGAAGAUUACAACAUAUUUUUGGUGAUAUUUGGAUUGAAGCGUUUUAAUUAAGCUUUAGUGCCUCACCGUUUUGAUUUCGUGAGAUGCAUACUAGAUAAAUAAAUGACAUGUGUUAGGUAAUCUCCAUUAUGUAGUUAGUGCUAUGAAAAUGCCUUAUUAUUUCCUGUAGAAAUUAGAAUUACUUUGAGCAUGUCUCAAUUUAUGGGAAUUCACACACACACACACACACACACACAUAUAUAUAUAUAUAUAUAUAUAUAUAUAUAUAUAUAUAUAUAUAUAUAUAUAUAUAUAAUAAUUCAUGAAUCUGCUUUGCUUGGUUGAAUUAAUAUUGCAUGAAUUGCUAGAAAAGUCUUAUGCAAUAAUAUGGAAAUUUUGUUUAAGAUGAUGUAAUGUUUUUUUGAUACUAUUAUUGAGCAUGUUGUAUCAUUUAUAGUUGGCCAUUUACAUAGUCUUAAUUGCCGGCUUGUGGAUUCCAAAAUACACCUCAAGCCCCACCCCAAGGUGGAGACCUUGCCGCUAUCUUAGGACAGUUCAUCAUAUCAACUCAAGCAUCCAUCCGAAAUUUGGAGACACAAAUGGGUCAAUUUGCAACCCAACUCAGCACCAGACCGUCGGGUGCAUUGCCUUCAAAUACAGAAGACCAGCGACAUAAAAACAACCAGCAAUGCAAGGCGGUUAGUCUAAGGAAUGAGAGACAAUUUGAGAAAGUGCCAAGAAAAGGGGAAGUGGGCAAAGAAAAAAGAAAGCAAGUUCCAAAAGAGGUGGCAAGGGAAGAUCAUGGAGCACCAACAUGAAGACGAGCCAAGUAAAAAAAGGGGUCGUUGCGCCGAAGCCAACCCCACAGAUACCUUAUCCUCAACGCUUGGUCAAGGCAAAGUUGGAGUCUUAUUACAAAACUUAUCUUGAGCAAUUGAAUGGAUUGCAUAUUAAUAUCCCUUUCAUUCAAGCUCUUGAACUAAUGCCACGUUGGAUAAAUUUUUGAAAGAUAUAGUGCCUAAAAAGUGAAAAAGUGGUGAGCAUGAAACUGAACAAUGAAGCGCGAUUCUCACUCGCCCGCACCCACCAAAACUUGAAGACCACGGUAAGUUUACAAUUCCAAUCGCAAUAGGAGAUAAGUUCUUUACAAAGUCUCUCAUAUAUCUUAUGCCUUUUCCUGUUUUUCAAAGUUUGGGAUGAGGAGAAAUAAAAUUGGUGUUUGUGACUUUACAGUUAGCGGAUAGAUCUCUCAUAUACCCAAAAGGCAUUGUAGAGGAUGUGUUAGUUAAAGUAGAUAAAUUCAUCUUUCCGGCAGAUUUUGUAGUUCUGGACAUGGAAGAAGACAAAUAAAUUUCCUUUAUUUUAGGGAGACCUUUUUUGAGAAGGGGUAUAACUAUAUUUGAUAUUUUUAAUGGUGUAUUAUCUAUGUUUUGGGAGAUGAAACAAUGAAAUUUAUAAAUUUUCGCCUAUGAUAGGGUCCCCCGGGAAACAAAUAUAGUGCAUAUUGGUUCUCAUGAAAUGAAAUCCUGACUCCAGUAAUUAUUUCACGGGUGUGGAUGUAAUUACCAAUACUAUAUUUUUUUUGCAAUUGUUUUUCCCGCCACCACCAGGAGUGGACCCAGUGCCAUUUCAAUGGGGAGGGGGGGGGGGGGGGGGGAGGGUGGGGGAGUGGGGGGCAAGAUUUGGGAAAAAUGGACUGUGAAUUUACGGGGAUCAAGGGCAACGCCCCUGGAUUUUUCUUUUUUUUUUUUUGUAUAUUUUGUAAAUAUCAACAUUAAAAAUUAAGUAUUACAAAUUAUUUUAAUUAAAUAUAAGUAUAAUCUAAAAUAUAUUAUCGUUAUUGGAAUUUUUAAGCUUAAAAUCAUAGACUACUAAGUUUUUUUUUUUGGGGAUUAUUUUGUAGACCCUCCUCAUUUUCAAAUUAUGUAGAACUAACUAUCAAGCGGAUUACACUCUAGGGGAAACCCCCCUCAUUUCGAAAAUAUUUUGACAUACCCCCUCGGUCACCCUGAAGUACCUAUAAUGCCCUUUUAAAAUCAAAUUUAAACCCUAGCCACUCACAGUCGUCUCUCUCUUCCUCUCUCAACUCUCAGAUUCCAAUCCCGUCUCCAUAUAUCUCCAACCGGCGAAGUUGCUUCCCCGAGUCAUAACUCUCUCUCCAGUGGUCGCAAUUCGAUGUUUUAACUACCGUUGGAUUCCUCUUGUCGAACUCUUUCUUUUGUUGGUGAUUUCAUUCAGAUUAGAGCACUCGGUCUGUUUCUGCAAUUGUUUUUCCGUCGACGCAUAUUUUGACGACGGUGGGGUCUUGCCGGAGGUGUAUUUUGUGUUCCGGCAGUCGGAAUUUGACGGGCUAUCCACCGUUGGAUUCUUCUCGUCGAGAUCUAUAUUUUGAUGGUAAUUUUGUUUAUUUUUAUAUUAUCAUUUUUUUUAUAAUUUUUUUUCACUUGUGAGCGCGGAACCUUGGGUGAUUUCUUGCGGCGGCUAGGGUUUUGGUAGGAGGCAAUUGGGGUGAGGAGUCACUGGCUGUUUGGUUUAAAAUUAUUAGCAUUUCCCAUCUAUAACCUCUCUCUCUAUCUCUCAAUCUCGUAGUGUUUGUUGAUUUUUGAGUGUUUUGAUGUUUCUUCAUUUUUUGUUGAUUUGCACUAAAACAAUUUUUUUAUUGUUUGGAUUUUGCAAUUGCAGCUUAAUGAAAGUCAUUGAUCAACUCCUUGAAGGUAUCAAAAAUUUGGUUGAAGUUACAUCUGCUUCAAGUUAAAUGUUCAAUAGACUGUAUACAUUACUGUACAUUACUAUAUAUUACUAACAUUACUAGUUACAUAUAGUAACAUGUAGUUACAUAUGCAUAUAGUGUGUAUUUUUUAUUUGUAUUUUAUUGGUUCUGAGGUGAUUCAUAAUAAAAAUAUUGAAAUUUGUAAAUUUUUGUUGUUGGGGUUUAUGAAUUUCUUUUGUAUAAGCCACUAUUCGUGUGUGUAUACAAUUGAUCGACUAAAUAUAUGGGGUAAAAAAAAGAACAUAACUACGAACUACUAUGGUUUACUACAGUUACAUGUAGUUACAUUUAGUUAUUUUUAGUACAAUAAACAUAUUGAUUUGAAAAAAAAAAAAAUUAAAACAAAAAUUAAAAAAAUAUUAAAAAAAUUACAAAAAAAUUAAAAAAAAAUUAAAAAAAUUAAAAAACAAAUGUCUAUAAAUUUAACAAACAUGUUUAUUUUAAAAAAAAAAAGGAAAAUAAUAAUAAAUAAAUCAGCGAAAAUGCUAAAUGCAGGACCAUAAAUGCUAAAUGUAGUUUGGUCGAAAAUUGCAUAUAAGGGUAAUAUAGUACUUUUGCCUCUCCGGGAAAUAUGUCAAAGGAUGAUUUUGGUUUGAGUUUAUCCCUAGUUUAUUUGGUAGCUAGGGGGUGGUAUGUAACAUAAGUCUUUUUUUUAGGGGGGCGAAAUAUACUCUAGUUUAUAAAUAAAUAAAUAAACCAUUAAAAAAAGGGCAAAUGGCAAAUAGGCCCAUGACAAGGGCACUUAAUUAAAAGAGGGACAUCUAACUUUUUUGUCUUUCAAAUAAAUCCAUCUCAUUCAAACUUAUUUGCAAAUAAGGAAAAUCCUUUUAUAUAUACCAAAAUUACCCCCAAUUCAUUGAAACCCAAUUCAAUUCCAAUUUCAUGAUUUACACCCCAAUUUAGCCCAAUUUCAUCAAUUAACCAAUUUUAACCCUAAUUUUAAUUUUGACCCCAAUUUUGACCCGCCACCACUGGAGACCGCCGUUGACCGGCAUUGACUUUUUUUUUUUUUUUUUUUUGAAAAACUUUUUUUUUCCAGAAAUGUUUUUCCUGCCGAUCAACAGUCGUUGACCGCCAAGUCUCCAGCGUUGACUUAUUAUUUUUUUUUUUUAAUUUUGUUUUUUCUGAAAAAAAUAUUUUAAUUAAUAUUACUGUCUUGGCUGCUAAAUUACUGUCUCCGGCAGUUAUUUAACUGUCGGAGACAGUAAUUUAACUGUAAAUUGACUUUUUUUUUCUUCAAAAAUAUUUUAAUUAAUAUUACUAUCUUUGCUACUAAAUUACUGUCUCCAGCAGUUAUUUAACUGUCGGAGACAGUAAUUUAACUGUUAAUUGACUUUUUUAAAAAAUAUUUUAAUUAAUAUUACUGUAUUCGUUGCUAAAUUACUGUCUGCAGCAGUUAUUUAACUGUCGAGACAGUAAUUUAACUGUUAAUUGACUUUUUUUUUUUUUUUUUGAAAAAAAAAUUCUUAAAAAAAUUAUUUUAAUUAAUAUUACUGCCUUGGAUGUUAAAUUACUGUCUCCAACAGUAAUUUAACUGUCUUAGACAAUAAUAUUAAUAAUAUUACUGUUCGGAAAAAUAAUAUUUAUAAUAUUACUGUCCCAAACAGUAAUAUUACUGUCUGAGACAGUAAUUUAGUAGCCAAGACAGUAAUAUUAAUUAAUAUAUUUUUUUUCUAAGAAAAAUAAUUCAAAAAAAAAAAAACAAGUCAACGCCGGAAUCUGGCCGGAAAAAAAACAUUUCAGAAAAAAAAUCAUUUUCUGAAAAAAAAAAGUUUUGGGAGGUAAUGUGAUAUAUUUGUUUAAAUUCGGGGUCAAUGUGUAAUAUUAAGGAAGUUAGAGCAUAAUGGAUGGAAUUGAUAAGAAUUAUAUUAUGGAGGGUAUUUUAGACUAAAGACAUGGGGGUGGGUUUAAUUGACAGACUGUUUUUUUUGUGGACCAAAAUACAUUUAAGUCCCAUGUGAUGGGCCUCUUUACCAUUCGCCCUUAAAAAAAAGGCAAAAUUGUUUUUCAUGCAAGGGCGGCACCACCCCCCACCAAGCAUAGCUUGGAUCCACCCCUGGCCGCCACUACAGUUUAUCGGCACAUAUCAAUAUUAUUGUGUAUAACAAUGGUUUUAUCUAUCCUAGACCCGGUGAACGUUACACUGGGUGAUUUUUUACCGUUGAUCUACACAUACCAAUGUGGGUGUGUGUGUUUGUGUGUAUAUGAAUAGUAAAGAUCUACCUAGUGUAUUUCACCUGAUGUAGAAUCUCAAAAGCCGUAUAACAAUAAUAAACAAUAAUAUUACCGUUUUAAAAAAUUAAUUUUAUUGUGUGGGUUUGCAAUAUUAUUUUCUCACACAAAAAUAUUAUUGCUAACACAUUAAUAUGGCUGUAUUGGAUUGUAUUAGUACUACCUCAGACAAUAAUAUUGGUGUUAAAAUAAUACUAUUAUUAUGUUAAUAUUAUUGUUAACACGGUAAUAUUAUUAACAUGUCUUAGACAAUAAUACUAAUUUGUUGGCCGUUCAAAAACAUGAAAAAGAAAAGGUUAAAAAAAAUUAAUAUUAUUGUGAGGCCAGUAAUAUUAUUGUGCAGGCCGGUCAACGAAGCGAAAAAAAAUCAAAAAAGAAGAGCAAAAACUCAACGCCAGAGACGAGCUUGGAAAAAAAUCCAGAAAAAAUAAAAUCAACGCCAGUAGCCGAAAUAAGGUUUUCAAGAAAAAAGAAAAAGAAAAUAAAGUCAACACGAGAGAAUGGUGGGAAAGAAAAUUUCACGAAAAAAUUGUGCAAAUGGGGUUUAAUGUGAUAUAUUUGUUAAAAAUGAGGGUCAAUUUACAAUAUUGGUUAAAUUAGGAUUUCAUGGAUGAAUUGAUUUAAAUUAUAUUGGCAGGGGUAUUUUCAGCAAAACACAAGGGAUGAGUUUUUUGUACGACUGAACUUGGUCUGGAUAUGAGUGCAAAUAAGUCUAGAUGAAUAUGGUUAUUUGCAAUUUGCCCAUGUUUUAUAUAAAUUUUUUUCAUUCUAAAAGAAAAAAAAAAAGGAAAGAGAAACAAGACUGAUAAUGAAACUAUUAUUUUAUAUUUUGCAUAUCUUGUAUAUAAAAAAAAUAAUAUAUACUAACGCUACGGCAACCACAAGCAACCAUAAUGCAUUCUUCUAAUUUACUUUUUUUCUAACUGAUUUUCUAAUUAUAAAAAUUUAAAAUUUCCCGUGUAGCUAGUAUUUUUAUUUUUUAGGGGUAAUGGCAAAUAGGCCUAUGACAAGGGCACUUAAUUAAAAGAGGGACAUUCAAUUUUUUUGUCUUUCAAAUAAAUCCAGCCCAUUCAAACUUAUUUGCAAAUAAGGAAAAUCCUUUUAUAUAUACCAAAAUUACCCCCAAUUCAUUGAAAUUCAAUUUAACUCCAAUUUCAUGAUUUACACCCCAAUUUAGCCCAAUUUCAUCAAUUAACCAAUUUUAACCCUAAUUUCAAUUUUGACCCGCCAACACCGGAGACCGCCGGUCGCCGCCGUUAACCGGCGUUGACUUUUUUUUUUUUUUUUUUUUUUUAAUUUUUUUUUCCUGAAAUUUUUUUCCGGCCGGUCAACUGCCGUUGACCGCCGGGUCUCCGGCGUUGAUUUUUUUUUUUAUAAUUUUGUUUUUUCUUAAAAAAAAUAUUUUUAUUAAUAUUACUGUCUUGGCUGCUAAAUUACUGUCUCCGGCAGUUAUUUAACUGUCGGAGACAGUAAUUUAAUGGUUAAUUGACUCUUUUGUUUUUUUUUUUUUUUUCUUCAAAAAUAUUUUAAUUAAUAUUACUGUAUUCGUUGCUAAAUUACUGUCUCCAGCAGUUAUUUAACUGUCAGAGACAAUAAUUUAACUGUUAAUUGACUUUUUUAUUCUUAAAAAAAAUAUUUUUAAUUAAUAUUACUGUAUUCGUUGCUAAAUUACUGUCUCCGGCAGUUAUUUAACUGUCAGAGACAGUAAUUUAACUGUUAAUUGACUUUUUUUUUUUUUAAUUUUUUUCCUUAAAGUAAUUAUUUUAAUUAAUAUUACUGCCUUGGAUGUUAAAUUACUGUCUCCAACAGUAAUUUAACUAUCUUAGACAAUAAUAUUAAUAAUAUUACUGUUCGGAAAAAUAAUAUUCAUAAUAUUACCGUCCCAAACAGUAAUAUUACUGUCUGAGACAGUAAUUUAGUAGCCAAGACAGUAAUAUUAAUUAAAAUAUUUUUUUUCUAAGAAAAAUAAUUCAAAAAAAAAAAAAAAGUCAACGCCGGAAUCUGGCCGGAAAAAAAACAUUUCAGAAAAAAAAUUAUUUUCUGAAAAAAAAAAGUUUUGGGAGGUAAUGUGAUAUAUUUGUUUAAAUUCGGGGUCAAUGUGUAAUAUUAAGGAAGUUAGAGUAUAAUGGGUGGAAUUGAUAAGAAUUAUAUUAUUGAGGGUAUUUUAGACUAAAGACAUGGGGAUGGGCUUAAUUGAGAGACUAUUUUUUUUGUGGACCAAAAAAAAUAAUUUUUUUUUGGUCAUCAUCAUCGUCGUCUUCAUCGCCGUCGUCAUCCUCGCUGUCAGGUGAGAAAAAUGGGAGGGAGAGACCCUGUCGGUUGGAUAUGUUCGUAUACUCGUGAUGAUGUUAGAGUUAGAUCAAUUUAGAGAGUUGAAGUAGGAUGAACUGGAAGAACAGAGUGGAUCACUGGCUCACGAGCUUGAUGACCUUGAGAUACCUGCGAUCAUAGAAUACGUAAACUAAGCUGGGGGUUGAUCCGGCAGAAACCCCUCCGAUGCUCAAGUCAGACGUGCGGAUAGUAGAAAUGGUCCAGCGAAUACAUGUAGUAUUGCUCAGAUAAUAGGAUGUACCUUAAGAAACGAGUUCAAACAUUUAUUUAUACCUCUUAUAUAUAUAUAUAUAUAUAUAUAUAUAUAUAUAUAUAUUAACCAAUUUUGACCGUCACCACCGUUGACUGCCGGUCUCCGGCACUGACUUUUUUUUUUUAUUAACAAAAAUUAUUUUAAUUAAUAUUACUGUCUUGGCCUGCUACAGUAAUAUUACUGUCGGAGAAAUGAAUGACGUUUGAUUUAGGCGUGGACCGCAAGUUUGGCUCCAUGUCCAGGCGUGGGUCUCCAGGCGUGCAAACACCUGACCGGCGUCUGUACCGGUCGUCCAGUUCAUAUCUAAGUUUUUAUUUAUUUAUUUAUUUAGUUAAUAACAAUCUUUUGUUUUCAUAUCUAAGUUUUUAUUUUUUUAUUUAUUUAGUUAAUUACAAUCUUUUGUUUUUAUUUCCUAGUUAAUUAAUUUGUAUUAUCAGCAGACUACUACGUAUUUUUAAGGUUUUUUUUAUUUAUUAUCGGUAAACUACUAUUUAUUCUUCUAUGUGUUUUUUUUUAUUAUGGCCAGAAUACCACUGUCCCAAACAGUAAUAUAUUACAUAAACAUCAAUCAAGAAGAACUACAUAAAAAGAAAAUAUAUCUACUAUUGUUUAGAAUGAGAAUAAACAUUAAACAAAACAAGAACUACAUACAAAUAAAAUACAUGAACUAAUGUUUAGAAUGUCGUCCACGCUCGACGUCUACCCACUAAUGCAUCGUCCAAAUCUAUCAACUCAUCCCUCGAGUUAAAUAGUUCCAUUACUACAAAAUGCUCACUAUGAUCAACUUUAAACGUCAAAGAAUUUUGUUGCUUUUCCUGAAAUAAUUACGAAAAAAAAUAAAGUUAAAAUUAAUAUAAUAAUAAUAGUAGCAACAAAAAAUUGCAUAAGUGGUCGGCGCCAAACUGGGCGUGGAAAACAGUGUUGGGCGCCCACUUUGGGCGUGAAAAUCAUUUUCCGGCGCCUAUUUUGGUCGUGAGCCACGUUUUCCCGAUUUAUAAAACAAAAACGAACAAAUUUUAAUUCAUCGGAUUGUGUGCCUCAAUCCUCAUCUGAUGCACUCAUUUUCCUUUUUAAAUCACUACAAUAAGAUGGAUUUCGAGACAAUUUAUACUAUAAAAGCUUGAGAGGAUUUUUUUUCUAGAGAGGUAGAAAGUGAAUUAUUGUAAACCCGUAUUCGUAAAAAUGCUACCGCGAAUAUCAAGUCCCAUUUUCUAAUUAUAAAAAGUGUAAGAUUCCAUGUGUAGAAUCAUUAUUUUUUUAACCAUACGUCUCUAACUAUAUUUACAAAUUUCUUUCUUUUUAUUGUUCUCUAAAUUUUUGCUUUAUUAAUCGCUUCAUUUCUUUAACGAUGAAUUUCAUUUUAUAACAGUUAAGUUAGUAUUAUCUUUUGUAGAGUGGGUUUGUAUUAUUAGAUUGGUUUGAAUUUUGAUAUUACUAAUAAAUUUUAGAGGUCUUAAGAUAAGUCCCUAGUGACAAACCUUAUUAGAACUAAAUGACAAGUCUAACUAAAAUUUGCUUCACAUCCUUUAUUAAAUUUAUUCCAAAAAUGCCCCUCCACUCACAAAUUCGAAAUUACACCAAAUUGUAAAUAUACUAUGAUGAACUAUGGUAUUAUUUAACAUUUUUAAGUUUGCAUCUAGCAUUUUUUUUUUACGUGGAACACGUUUUUUUUCCCCCGUAUUUUAUCAUUAUAUAAAAAUCUAUUUUUUUCCCCUUCUUUUCUACAUAAAGUGAAAAUUAUGAUUUUUUUAAUUUUUUCGGUCGUAGACAUCUUCAGAAACCCAUAGGAAACCGUAGUAAUCCGUAGUCACCCAUAGACAUCUUGAAACCCUAAGACAUCUUGAAACCCUAACUCCUCCUACAAACCCUAGCCGCCAGACCCAUAGACACCCAUAGACAUCCAAAUCAUUUUUUUUUUAAAUUUUCUCCAGCAAACCCUAGAUCCACUCCUCCACCACCACCAUCCACCACCGAGCACCGCCAUCACGCCAUCAUCCAUGCCCAACACCGUGCCGCGCCUUCAACCAUAGAUCUGACCUUAAACCACCAUAGUCGCCGUCUCCUUGCCUCUACAACCAUCCGUUUAUAGCCGCCGUCUCCACCGCCAUAACCACCGCCCCUCUCAAUAGUCGAUUGGAGUGGUGGAGAACGAAAGAGACAGAGAGAGAUAGCGAUAUCGAAAAAUAGAGAGAUAAAGAUUUUGAGAGAGAUAUAUACAGAGAAAGAUUGUUGCGAGAGAGAGAGAGAUGCGAGAGAGAGGGAGAUGCGGGAGACAGAUCGAGAGGGAACGAGAUUGGGAGAGAGAGAGAAGAAAAAAGAAAAAUAAAUCUGAGAGAAACGUGACUUUAGAAUUUAUGGAUUUAGGUUAAGGGUAAAUUAGGGAUAAAAGAAAAAUUGAGGAUGUGACUCAUACUUAUUUUUCUAAAAAGGAUUUAGUUCAUAGAAAAAUAUUAAGGUUGUAUUCCACAUCUACUUAUGUUUCCAGCUAAGUACCUCUAGCAUAUUACCCCUAAAUUUUAUUACAAUAUAGCAAAAUAAUAUAUAUAUUUUUUUUAAUAAUUGUUAUUGUCGUGAAUUUAAAUAACCAUUUUUUUCCAUUUAUGAAAUGUUAUGUCGUGCAUUGCACGGGGAGAUGUACUAGUAAUUUAUAAAUUAAAUAAUAUAUAAACUAAACAUCGUCGUCAUCUUCGUCGUCGUCGUCAUCAUCAUCAUCAUAUUAUCAUCAUCGCCGUUGGGUGAGAAAAAUGGGAGGCAGAGAUCCCGUCGGUCGGAUAUGUUCAUAUACUCAUUAUUUUAGAAAUUUGCCGUCCAUUCAUAUUUCGUAUUUCAUAUAUGAUCUCAUUAACUAGGUUCAAAUUUGAAUCGCUCUCCAUUAUAUAACAUAGAUACGAGCAAUUUUAUAAACAGUAUAUUUUAUUAAGGACAUUUACAUUGAAUAAAAACAAAACAAAAAAUACUUAGAAUAUACAAACCAAAAUAGAACCCACAUGCUUAGCCUCAACAGCAUUAUUUUUUUGAAUGCAUAUAUGAUAUAACAUAAUAUUUCUCUGGUUAUAAUCGAAAUUACCUGCAGUUUGAUUAAAUUAAAAUCUUACAAAAUAGAAUACACCCCAAAAUGAAAAUUCCAUAAGCAAAUGAGCAAGCAAGCAAGCAACCACCAUUGCCUCUAAUUCGAUUUAGAGGCGGAAUCCAUCCAAGUAUGAUCUAACCAUACGAGGCUAUUUCUAUGAAGGCAAUAGACAGACAAAUCACCAAUGCAGUCCAAAUCAUGACACUCGAUUUCCCGUGUUCAAACAUCAUAGAUCACAAGAGCCUUAUCUCGAACCUCCCAAACACUCAACACGAACACAUCCAUGUAAUUUAACCAACCAACCGGUAUGAGUCCGUUGAGAAGAGUACACCCCCAGUGUUUCUCUAUUUUACACUUUUGAGCAUCCAAGUCAAUCUUGAGCACCAUCUUCCAUUCCCCAGGUUUCUUCAUCUCCCAAAUAUCCCAAGAAAAUCCACGCCUCAUGACAUUGAUCAGAGUCACAGAUCUCCACGUCGAAAAAUAAUAAUUAUAUACUAUUCGAUCUACAUAAAUAUCCUGAGGAAUGGGAGUCUCUGUAAAAAUCUCACUCUCCAAGUUCAAACUCAAGAAACAAGUACUGAACCACCCACAGAGAAUAUUUAAUUACUUAAUCCUAGACGCUAAAUCCUAACAAUUAUUAUCAAGCCCACCCUACAAGUAGAAAGAUGAAUAAUAAACUAAAUUAACUAAACUAAAUUAAGCAAAUUAAAAAGACAAAAGCAAGAAAGCAAGUAAAAUCGAAGAUUUAACCAGAGAAAGCAAGCCUAGGAUUUUAUUCUCCCCCUAUGUGAUUAUUACUCCCCAAUCCCUUCAAUUAUGCAAGUAAUUAACUCAGAUUAUUAACUUGAGAUGCUAAAUUAAUCAUAACCCUCUUCCGCGUGUAUUACGAUUCUAAUACUCUAGAUUCAAUUACUGUAUUCCUACGCAAUUAAUUCUAGAACACAAUAUUAAGCACAAAUCUCAAUAAUGGCUACCUAAGAGAUUAACUAUAUUCCUAUGUUAAUACCACAGAGGCUCUUCUACCACAGUUCUUAUUAUUAACCCAAUCUUCCGAUUCAUGCGAUUAACAAUAACAUUAAAAGCACAUAAUGUGAUCAAGUUUAUGCACUUAAUAAAACAAGUAGAAGAAAUAAUCCGGAAUUAAAACUUGCAUACAUAGAAUUGGGUUCAUAAAUCCCACAUAGGGUUCGAAAUAAAAUCCUAGGAAUAAAAGAGUUAGCUACUCAUGAUUAAAGUAAAAACAAAAUAAUAAUUCAUAAAAAGAUAAACUAUGCUUGUAAUCUUCGAUUUUUUCGUCUUCGUUAUUGCUUCGUUGCUAUUGAAAUUGCGUAAAAGAUUGAUGCCCAAUUGUGUGCUUGGCUUGGUCUUAUGUAGGGUGGAAAAUUUGGAGGAGAAGGUAGUUUACUUGUGCAAUUAAAAUUCAUUUACCGCGCUUCUACGCCUUCUCGGACGGCCGUCUGAGAUUAUGUACUAAAACUCGGACGACCGUCUCAAUUCCAGAGACUGCCUCUGUUUCUCGGACGGCCGUCUGAUAUUUAAGAAUUUUGACUUCUUCACUUUUCGCCCAUAUUUUCUCCAAAAUUGCAGUUUAUACCCCAUACUUAUCCAAUUCUUCAAUUUGUACCUAAAAUACAAUAAAUCAACAUUUUAAGCACCAAUUAUCAUUAAAACACACCAAAAGCUCCAAUUAAAAGGUACGAUUAAGUGUAAAAAUAUACACUUAACACUACCUCUGUAAAUAUUGGAGAAAUGUAAACUACAUCAAAUCAAACUUAAAAUGCUUCUCUUAUCUUCUUUGUAUUGCAUAUACAUUGAAAUUCAAGUGAAUCCUAGGAAAACAUAUUUUUCGAGAUUUAUGAUCAGAUUUGCAGUCAAUUGCGAGAUUUUGUUUAGUAUUGCUAUUGUAAUAUGAUAGUUGUUGAAGUUAAUGAUGUCUAUGUGAAAUCAUUGAAAACUAAUACAACUCUUAUAACUCUCUGGUGGGACAGCAAAUAAACUCAUGAUAACCAAAAUGCAUUAUCCAAUUGUAAUGUUCCUCAUGCACACCUAGUCCUUAUGCAACAGUACUCUGCUUAUUAUGGAUUACCCGCUCUUUAACCAAUUCCAUUUUUUUUUUCUUAUUGAACGAUGAAACAUACAUCAGAAAAAUAAACAAAAAACUCAGAAGCUUGUGCAUUAACAUAAUUUCCAGCUAGCAAUGAACAUGAAUGUAAAUUAUGUUCCAAACAUACUCUACAGAAAUUUAAUUGGUCUAUAUGCUUCACAGUAGUGUAAAGAGAAGGUUAGAUUCGUGCAACCUUUACAAAGAGUAUGACUCCACAUGACCGCAAGUCUAGAGUAGCUCUAUAAUGGUCUCGAUCGUUUAAGAGUUAGAGAAUUUAGAUAAAUUCGAAACAUAGAAGAUGAGAGGUUCUCAUAAACAUACCCCAGGGCAUUUUGACUUUGACAUACUAUGUACCAGGCCAUCAUCCUGUCAAAGUAAUGACAUAAUAAUUUCACAAAGUAAAACUAUGUCUAAUUAUAAAGAAUAAAUAAUUCAUGGAAGAACUUUAGAUAUUGCCCAUAAGUUUGCAUACAAUGAUAUCUUUGAUAUGUUACAAAGAUUGAAAGAUAUAUCUCAAGUGAACUUGUAUCUCAAGGAUAGUAAAAUGUGCCUUCUUUAUUCUAGAGCACUGAGUUAAUUGUCUAUUUGAAUGCAUUCUAAAAGAGCGUAUCAAGAGCAUAAUCUUGACCUGUAUACAGUAAAACCUGCUACAAUUCUAAAUAAAACAAUGAAAUAUAUUAAUGAAACUAAAAUAGUUUGUCAUCAGCCAUUGGUAUGUCAUGAAAUAUCAUAACAAAGAACGGACUACAUGUACAACCAUUUCUUCACUUAGUUUCCUUAAACUAACUAUUUAGUAAAACCAUUCGAGAAUACAAGAUUGAGCUGAAUUUUUUGCCUAUGCAUUUUGGAUGGCUUCAUUUUGUCCUUCAGCUAUCAGUUUCAUCAUCAUGUGACUACACCAUGGAUCGGAGAAUCCAUUUGUUGUUGACUUCACCUGUACGGUUGUACCUCCCAUGCCUGUUAUGUCUAAGAAAUAUGAUGUACAUCCAACACCCUUAUCUUGUAGUUUUGACGGAUCACAUCGACUUGCUAUAAAGGGAAAAAAAUACGAACCAAAUAUAGCUGUUGAAUGACCACCUCAACCAAAAAUUAAGCUAUUAUUAUUUAAUACUAAUAUCUUCAAUUCGCCCCCUAAAGUUUAAGCAAAUUAUAUUUUAAGCCUUGCACUUGAAAUAUUUGAAAUGGAUGGCGGUGGGAUUCGAACUCAUGACCUUUCAUUUGGUCAGACUCUGAUACCAUGUUGAAUGACUACCUCAACCGAAAGUUUAAGCUAUUAGUGAAGUGUAUCAUUUGUCACUAAUAUCUCCAAUAAUAACAGUGAUAAAGCAUAUAAAGUAAACUGGCAUAAUUCACUCUAGUAUCCCCUUGAAUGGCUCGUAGAUUUUCUAUAAUAAUAUAUCCCUAAAACUCACCUGAAUAGUAAUGGGAACCAAAUCGAAGAUUUGUGUUAAAGGAAUUUAAUAUCUAAUAACAUUAAAUUUUUUUUAUGAGAGCACGACAGCGAAUACAUGUGUUUUACAUAAGGUGGGAGGUAUUCUCUGCAAGAAGGAGAAGGAGACUGAUGAUUCAAUCACAGCCUAAAACUUAACUCAUGAUUUUUAAUUUGGAGUAAACACAAAACUUACUAAAUUGAAAAGGAAACUAUCUAUAGCCAUUGGACCCUAAUAUAUAGAGGGAAAAAAUAUGAAUUGAAAAAUAUAAGAAGUUCAUGAACAAAUAAAAUCACUAAAAAUUCAAAUAAUAUAGAAGAUAAAACAAACAAGGGGCAUUAAAAUUUUCGCCAUCAAAAUAAAAAUCACGGAAACAAGUUUAUAUAAAUAAAUUAUAUGAGAAAUAACUUUUAAUUUCAUGUUAUAUUUGUCUACCAUUAGACAACAUAAAACCAUCAGUCAAGUAGCGUAAAAUUUAGGCUAAAUUCCACUUUCCCCCUUGUACUUUGGUUGAUUAUGACUUUACUUGAAAAAUUGUCUCAAUAUGGCCCUCGCCGUUAGUUUUCAGACCUUUGACCUUAACACCGUUUGAUCUAAGUCUGAAAAUUACAAAAAAACCACUCCUCCAAGCUUAAAUAAUUAUUAAAAAAUCCAAAAAAAAAAAAUAAUAAAUGGUGGCAGACGUUUUUGACUAUGUUUUCUUGUUUCUUGAUUUUUUUAUUAUUUUAUUUUAUUAUUAUUAUAUUUUUUUUAAAUAUUUAUUUAAAUUGGGAGGGUUGGCAGUUUUGUAAUUUUAGAGCUUAGAUCAAACGGCGUUAAGGUCAAAUGUCAGACAACUAACAACGAGGACCACGUUGAGACAAUUUUUCAAGUAUAGGGGGGCAAAUGAAUAGAAUGGGGUAAAGUGAUACCAAGCCAAAGUAAAAGGGGGAAAGUGAAAUUUAUCCUAAAAUUUAUAUCACUAACCAAUAGAGAUAGUCAAGCCUCCAAAAGUGAAGUCUCCGAGUAACUAAAACAUGACAAUUCAAUAUAAUCAUCUAAUGCAAAACUACCAAUAACAAUAUAAAGCUCAUUUAACAGAUUAUUUCCUAUUUAUUCACUCACAAUUCAUAACAUUAACAAAUAUUAAUAACAUGGCAGUUCAAUUCCUAUUUUCAUAAACGGGAUGUGGAAUACCAAGAGCCACGUCAAUCAAAAAUUAAAUUAUGGUUUCUAGAAAAUGUAUAGCUUAGUCUUGUUGGAGAAAGACUAACAACUUUGAUGAGAUUGGAUCACUAGCUAAACCCAAAGUCAUGCAACAUCACCUUUGGAUUAAGCAAAUAAAGCAGUUGCAGGAUCAAUACAUUUUCUUUCUUUUGUUAUGAGUCCCUGAUAAUGUACAUACGUGAAUUUGAGAUGACAAGAAGAAGCCAAUUGAAAUAGAAAGUCCUUACAAACUUCACGUAUAACAUUCUUAGUCACAAACUAUAUCACAAUGAAUCUUACCUGCCAAUACAUAAAUAAAGAAUUGAACGGAAAAAUAAAAUGUAGGGUAAAUUACACACACCCCCCUGAGGUAAGCUUAAAUAACUGUAAGGUCCCUGUGGUAUCGAUAAUUACACUUAGCCCCCUGAAACGUAGUCAGAAACUCUAAUGGGAUAAUGAAUUGGAUACGUUAUUCCGAUAGGGUUCUAACGGACUAUUGGUUUCAGAAAGUGGUGAAGACAACAAAAAGCUAUGGGGUGACAUGGCUCCCCGAACAUUCCCGAACAUUUCUUAAAUCACCCAUAGCUCUUUGUUGUCUCCACGAUUUUCUGAAACCAAUAGUCCGUUAGNNNNNNNNNNNNNNNNNNNNNNNNNNNNNNNNNNNNNNNNNNNNNNNNNNNNNNNNNNNNNNNNNNNNNNNNNNNNNNNNNNNNNNNNNNNNNNNNNNNNCCGCUCUAUUUUUUUAUCUCCUUACCCGCCCCCCCCGGGGGGGGGGGGGUUAAAUACACUCUUUUCGGAUCCCCAUUGUCUAUAAGAUUUCCCUCGGAAUAACGUAUCCAAUUCAGUAUCCCAUUAGAGUUUCUGACUACGUUUCAGGGGGCUAAGUGUAAUUAUCGAUACCACAGGGACCUUACAGUUAUUUAAGCUUACCUCAGGGGGGUGUGUGUAAUUUACCCUAAAAUGUAAUUGCAAGUAAAUUUAGUAGAUAAAAGUUAAAUAUCAAUUCCAACCUUUCGCCCGGUCGCUAACCUAUCUUUUUGAGUCCAUGAGAAGGAUUUUUCCCUAUCAUCGCUGGCGAAUUCCGUCACCCACUUUAGCUUCGUGUGCAUAGCCUUCCUUCUGCCUUCGGGAGAAUAGAUUUCUAAUGAACUUCCCCUAGAAAGACUUGGGAACCCCUUCCUCAAAGAAAAGAGAAGAAGCGCGCUAUCGAUUCAAUAAUCCCCAUGCAUAGACCAUUAAUUUUAUGAAACUGAAACACGUGUUUUGAAUUACCUGAGUAGAAAUAAUUUUAAAUCAAUAAUCCCCAUGCAUAUAACCCAUACAUGUUUCAUUAGGUCAAUUAAUUCAAAUGAAUAAAAAAAAUAACUUAAUACAUAGAAGUGGGAAAAAUAUGAAAAAUAACUUACGAACUGUAUUAACAUAUGCUCAAUCCGAUCUUGAUAUGGAGGAUUUAUUCCUUCACUAAUCUAGAAAACUUUAUCAUAUUUUCAAAAUUUAGGGUUCAAACUAUUAAACAUAGAACUGUAAACAAAAAAAAUAAAGAAGAAGAAGAAGACGAAAAAGAAAUCGAGAAGAGAAAGAAAAGAUGAAGGAGAACUUGAAACUGGAAGUUACGAUCAUUUAUUUCUUUCUUUGGUGUAACUGAUGCAAAAUUAAAAUUCAUAUUGAAUUAUCGACCGUUGAGUUUCUUUGAAUUUCUUAUAUGACUAACAUUUAAUAGAUACAUAAGUUCAUCUUUUCAGAUGCCUUUAUACAUUGAACUCUAAAAUAUAUCAAUUAUUUUCAUAAACAUACAUUAAAAGACUAAUUAUAAAUAAAUAUUAAUUAUUUUAAUUUUGAUAGGGGCAUUUUGGUCAUCACAAAAAAGGGAAGAAACCUCCCCUAACAUUCUCACUUUUAUAAGUAAAAUAAGUAGUAUAGAUAAUGGUGAGUAGGUAUAUUAUAAAAGCAUUUUCAUGGUCAGGCCCGUUCCUGAGAAUUCGGGGGCCCUAGGCCAGAUUUUAAAGAACAACUGAAAACAGGGGCCCCUAUUUGAUAAACCAUUUUUUUUAUUAACGGGUGUUCGAAAUUGAAUGUAUUAAAAAAAAUAUAAAUAAUAUUUUCUAAAAAUGAUGAAAUAAAAGAUUAUGGGGGUUCGGGGGCUGUGCCCCCGAAAUAUUUUUUGAAAUGUAUGAAUAUAAAGUAGCUAAAAAUGUGGAAAAAAAAUUCAAAAUUAACAAUAUGAUUUGCUAGUUCACUUCCUCCCGUGACGUAUAAUAUUUAUAGCAAAUAGACUUCAUAAAUAUUUAUAAACUUAAAUACACUAAUGAAUAUUGAUUCUUAUUUUAGAAUAAAAUAAGUAAUUAAGACAUUAUAAAUUUAAUAUUUAGGGGCCCCAAAGUUUGGAAAAUUGCAAAAAUAUCUAUUGAUCAUUUAGAUUAAAUUUAUUUUAGAACCGAUGUUCCAAAGUAUUAUAUAUAAUAAAUUUUAAAAAAUAAGUACUAAUAUAUAAAGUGUAAAUAAAAUAAUUUGGGGGCCCCAAAUUUUGGUAAAAAUUCGAGGGUUCUAGGCGACCGCCUACUUCGCCUUCCCUCAGAACCGGCCCUAUUCAUGGUCCAUACUACUUUUUGGGCCAUGUUCAAGGGACCGCACACGUAUCGGAAAUUAUUGUUUUAUCAUUAAUUGUAUUUUAUUCAUUUCUUUUUUUCCUUUUAGAAAUAUAUUCGCAAACCAUAGUUACUGAUGGGUUAGACUUUUUGUUAACCAAAUCCCACUAACUUGGGUAAUGCAGAUUUGUUUUCUCUCUCAAACGUCCCAUUCUUCUCUCCAUAUUUUUUCAUCACUGAUUUUAUCAUAAAAAAUCAUUCAUCAUAUCUCUGUAAUUUGAAGAUUUUUUUUUCAACUUUCGAUGAUUAAAUUCUUUGCAUUGGGUCUUUUUUAUUUCAGCCAUCCCCCCCCCCCCCCCCCCCCCCACAAUCCACACAAAUUAGAACCUUACAAUUUACAAACACAGUAAACAAGAAACGAGAAAAUAAUUCAGUCACGGUGUACUGGAAUAUGAGAGAGAGAGAGAGAGAGAGAGAAGUGAAACACAAACAUAGUGUGUAAUUGCGUUGCAUAUGAGAGUUUUGAUCCAAUCGAACACUGAAAUCAUAAAAGCUUCAAUUAGUGCCCGAGAAAAAAAUGUUAUAAUAUUAGAGAUAAUUGCUCAACGGGGAGGAGGAAGAUGUCUAAUAUCGGUGUUGUCAGAAAUGGAAAAAACCAGAAAACUAGGAAAAGAGAAUUUGUGUUUAAUCACCAAUACCACUACCAGUAUGAAAGAGACGGUAGCAGUAGGAGAGAGCCUCAACAGCAUUAUUGAAUAUAUCACUACAACAUUUAUGGCUUUAUGCGAUAGUAAAAAAUCGUCGGGAAAAGUAGAAAAACCGUCGGGAGCAUUAUUUAUGACGGUUUUCAAACGUCACGAAACCGUCUAAAAAAAGGGCCGUCGUAUAUACUUCCACGUGUAAAAAAACCGUCGGGAAUAAGGUUUCUCGACGCUUUGAGAACCGUCGUAAAUACUCAUACAUAUUUUGAAAACCGUCAAGAAGGCAUUUCUGGACAGUUGAAAAACCGUCAUGAAUACUCGUAUAUAUUGGUCAAUAUUUUCUUCGAAUUGAUACUGAAACCUAUUAAAAAAUGUAACCGCAUGCCAAAAAUUAUUAUAAUUUCACAACACGAACAUAUACAAAUGCCAAAAAUCACUAGGAUUCCCCAAUACAGUAAUUCUUGUUUUCCAAAAGUAUGCAAAACCAAACUUGACGAAAAUUAUCUUUAAAACAAUUUCCUAUGAAUAAUUUUUAAUAAAAAAAAUGAUUUUAAUAAAAAAAUUAAAUAAUAAAAAAAAAAAUUAAAUAAGCCUGAGCUCGAGCUCGCCAAAAUUGGCUCGAGCUCGAGCUCGAGCCAAAAAAAAUUGGCUCGAUGAGCUCGAGCUCGGCAACAUGGACUCGAGCUCGAGCUCGAGCUGGCCAAAAGAGCCGAGCUCGGCUCGUUCCAACCCCUAGUUCCAACUUUUCUAUGAUUCCGUAUUUAUCUCCCUACUAUUCUUUUUUUUUUUUAAGAAAACGUAGAGCUUUUAUGUAAUGCCCAAUCAAUCCAUACAUGGCCAAUAAUAAGCAUAUUGCAUCAAUGCAUAUAGUUAGAAUUCAUUAUUCAUGAUGCAUGAUCGCGACUACUUGCUACACAUGUGCCUUAAUUGUGUUUUAAUACGUGAUCGAAUACUUUUCUUAAAAUGUGCUAAUACAUGAUACAUGUUAUUGAACUUCUAUUUUAUGAUUUAACAUGAACUUAAGUGAUUUAUUGUAGUGAGAAGCUCAGUUUCUCAGUUAAGAAGGGAUCAAUGUUUAAAGUUCUGCAUUUUAAUUACAUUUUAAUAUGAUUAAUUACAUAUGUAAUUACUUGAAGUAACUCAUAUUAGACUAAAACCAAAAGUAUGCAAUUUGAUUGGUUGGUUGACUAGGUUGCACAAGACCAUUCUGAUUUUGUUUACACUUGAUUAUAACGAGUAAACAUCAGCCCCCUAUCUCAUCUCAAGCUGUAAAAACGUGGAGGAACCACAAGAAUCCAUCAAAUAUAAGCCUUCCAAUCAUCAUCCUCCAUUUGGCCUUAUUGGGAAUGGGUAGAUAAGUGAAGACUUUGUGUUUUGGUCUUCAUUUUCACUUGUCUUCUUCCAAAAACGACCAGACCUAUUCACUUAAGCUUCUCUUCUUAUUUCUUCACUUCUAUAUUCACAUAAGAGAAUAUCAAACCCUAAGAACUCCUAGAAGUAUAGCUAGAACAAGUUCUUCACCUUUUCUAGCUGAAAAUCCUAUGUUUUUAAGUUUGAAUUCAUCUCUAAUCAAGGCUUCUAGCACACCUUAUCUAAGACUGAUCCUUUCACUUCAUAAACCAUAUUGAUUUUGAGGUAAGUUGAAGAUUUCAUUUGUGCUCAUCAUAAGAACCUAAUUAUGUGUGCUUUAAUGUGACUUUUGCUACGUGUUCUUCAUGAUGUUUGAAUGAUUGAUAAGUCAUAGCGAUAUGAAAGAAUAUGUUUUGAAAAUGGGAGUAUGGUACUUGAUUGAUGGUCGAGUAGGCAAGGGACGCGGGAGGAACCGGCGGACCCAACACAUGGUGGCAAAUACCUGAGGUCGAAAGACCAGUAUGGAAAACCCACAAUUAAAGAAAUUAAAUACGGCUAAUAAUUGAGGUCCAAAAGGCCGGUAUGGAAACCCCGUAUUACCUAUUGGCCAAAUAUGAUGAACAUGUUCUGAGAACGAAAGCCUAUUGCUAUCAGUCAAGUACCACACUUCAAGGGUACCCGAUAAAGAGAAAGAUUUCAAAGAAAAGGAUCACGAAUGAAGUUAUAUGUGAUAUUAUACACAUUGAAUGAAUAACGUGUUAUGUGAUAUACUGCAAUUACAUCCGUUUCAACUUGCUGAGCCAUUAGCUCAUUAGGUUUUUAUGAUGCAGGUAAUGAUGUACAUGUUUAGAAGUUGACCUAGCCAAGAGCGACCAGACAGAGAUUUGUUCAUAUGCCAUGCUUCGAGCCAUUUUUGUAGCCGAGCUAGAAACUCUGAUUUAAUUUUGUUAGCCGCUCUCUAUUAUGGUUUUUGUACAAUGUAAUUUUGUAAACAUUAAAUAUAUAUAUAUAUAUAUAUAUAUAUAUAUAUAUAUAUAUAUAUAUAUAUAUAUAUAUAUCUUUUCAAGCAUAUUAUGUAUUUUUAAAACCAUAAUGUUUAAGUGUUUCCAAAAAGGGUAGCAUCCCUAACUUAAUGGUGGUGAUCCGAUUGGAUUCUGUUGUUAGGUUGUGGGGCGUUACAUUUUGUGGUUUCAGAGCGGAGGUUUAAAAUAUUUUCUGAAGACAGAAGAAGGCAUAUGCACAUUCUUUGGCUGGGAAGCUUGGUUAACUCUCUUCUUAUUUACUUAUGUUUUUUAUUAGUUAACAUGUAUAUGCCAUUGUCAUGAUUGUGCAUUAGUAUUGGCUAAUGAACGGGAUGAGAUUCGGCAAUGUAUAGGAAGUAAUGGCACCAAAAAGGAAGACACGGAAUGUUGACCACGAGGGUGACUACAACUUAGUUGAUAAUUUAGCUGGUUUGAUUCAGCAACAGACUAGAAUUCAUGGCGAACAGAUACAAAAAUUGUUCGAUAUGCAACAACGAACCCAUGAACAAAACCAACAACCUCCUCCUCCACAAGCUAGACACGAUAACUCGCUUAUCGUGUAUGAGAAGUUUCGUAAAAUGGAACCGGUUGAUUUCUAUGGUGGGUCUGAUCCUAUGGUUGCAGAAGAAUGGGUUAAAUGUCUAGAUGUUAUCUUUGAUUACAUGCGUAUCGAAGAUUCCGAGAAAGUACUUUGUGCCAUUUUCCUAUUGAAGAAAGAAGCUAGAACUUGGUGGGAGGGUACAAAACUUGCAGUGGAUAUGGAGAAGUUGACAUGGGAGGCAUUCAAAACAAUCUUUUAUGACAAGUAUUUCACGAGGGAUGUCCGGUCACUCAAAGUUAAAGAGUUCUUAGAAUUGAAGCAGAAUGAAAUGUCCGUAUGUGACUACGUGCGAAAAUUCGAGGAGGGCUACAAGUAUGUACCUUACAUAGCUAAAGAUAACAAAGAAAAGAUGGAUCACUUCAUGAGAGGCCUCAACCCAGUUAUUAGAAAAGAUGUAAGGAUCUCUUCUCCAAACGAGUUUCGACAAGUGGUGGACAACGCAUUGAUGGCUGACUUUGAUGAGAAGGAAAUUCAGAAAUUUCAUCUACAGAAAAGGCAAACUUUUACUCAAAGAACUCAAUCUCAAUGGAAGAAACCAGAGCAAAAAUCCGGCCAAGUAAAUGAGAAGCGCCCUAGAGUUGUACAAAGUUCUACUACAGUUGAAAAGCCCAAGUGUGCCACAUGUGGGAAGAAUCAUUUUGGUGAAUGCUAUAGCGGUUUAAAUCGUUGCUUCAAGUGUAAGAAGCCAGGGAAUAUUGCAAGGAAUUGUCGCACCCCACCAGUCAAAGUUCAAGCGAGAGUGUAUGCAAUGACUAAAGAACAAGCUGAUGCAGAUGCAUCCGUUGUCUCAGGUACUAUUUUGAUUUUAGGAACUCGAGCACUUGCAUUAAUAAACUCAGGAUCUACGCAUUCAUUUGCAUCACAUUCAUUGGUGAGGAGAUUGGGCAUUAUACCAGAUACGUUAGAUGUGAUGUACAAUGUGACGACUCCGUCAGGGGAAGAGAUGAAUUCCAACCAAAUGUUGAAACAUGGUUCUAUUCAGAUAAGUGGUAGAACACUUUGUGCGGAUCUAGUUGUUUUACCGGUCGCAAAUUUUGAGACUAUUUUGGGCAUGGAUUGGCUUACAAAAUAUUAUGCAACGAUUAAUCGGAAGGUUGUCAUCUUCCGGCCACCUGGUGAAGAACAUUUCGAGUUUGGUAGUCAUUCACUUUCAUCUUCAAUACCAUUUAUAGCUGCAUUGAAGGCUCAAAAGAUGAUGAGUAAGGGUUGUGUUGGAUACUUGGCUAAUGUUAUGGACACUUCAGUAGGAACACAAUUGAAACCCCAAGAUGUGGAUGUGGUUGAUCAAUUUCUUGAGGUAUUUCCAGAUGACUUACCAGGACUGCCACCGGAUUGUGAAAUUGAAUUUGUUAUUGAUACGUUGCCCGGAAGUACUCCCAUUUCUAAAGCUCCAUACAGAAUGGCACCAACAUAACUAAAAGAGUUGAAGAUUCAACUACAAGACUUGUUGCAUAAAGGUCUUAUUCGGCCGAGUUAUUCUCCUUGGGGAGCACCGGUUUUGUUUGUGAAAAAGAAAGAUGGUACAUUACGUUUAUGCAUCGAUUAUAGAGAACUGAACAAACUUACAAUCAAGAACAAAUAUCCACUACCCAGAAUAGAUGAUUUGUUUGAUCAAUUGCAAGGAGCAUCAAUAUUUUCAAAGAUCGAUUAACGCUCCGGGUAUCUUCAAUUAAAAAUAAAGGAGGAUGACAUACAAAAGACUGCAUUUAGAACAAGGUACGGACAUUAUGAAUUUCUAGUCAUGCCCUUUGGCUUAACAAAUGCCCCCGCAGCUUUUAUGGAUUUAAUGAAUAGGGUGUUCAAGGAGUUCCUCGACAAAUUUGUGAUUGUGUUCAUUGAUGAUAUCUUGAUCUACUCCCAUGAUAAAGACGAACAUAGAGAACAUUUGAGAGUGGUGUUGCAAAUAUUGAAAGAAAGGCAACUAUAUGCUAAAUUUCAGAAGCGCGAGUUUUGGCUUGAUCAAGUUGUAUUCCUAGGGCAUGUCGUGUCCAAGAAUGGUAUUUCUGUCGACCCGAGUAAGAUAGAAGCUGCCAAAAAUUGGCCGACACCAACAACUGUAUCAGAGGUUAGAAGUUUCUUAGGAUUGGCAGGAUAUUAUCGAAGAUUUGUUCAAGGAUUUUCCAAGAUAGCAACUCCAUUAACAAUGCUUACACGAAAGAACGUGAAGUAUGUAUGGAAUGAUGCAUGUGAAAGUAGCUUUCAAGAGUUGAAACGGAGAUUGACUACAGCUCAUGUUCUCGUCAUUCCUUCUGGAACUGGUGGAUUCGUAGUGUAUAGUGAUGCUUCAAAAAAUGGAUUGUGUGUUGUAUUGAUGCAACAUGGGAAUGUUAUCGCCUAUGCUUCAAGACAAUUGAAGGAGUAUGAGAAGAAUUACCCAACUCAUGAUUUAGAGCUUGUUGCCGUUGUGUUUGCCUUGAAAUUUUGGAGGCAUUACCUAUAUGGUGAGAAAUGUGAGAUUUACACGGAUCACAAGAGCUUGAAGUACUUCUUCACUCAGAAAGAAUUGAAUAUGAGACAACGAAGAUGGUUAGAACUUGUAAAGGAUUAUGACUGUGUGAUUAACUAUCAUCCUGGUAAAGCUAAUGUAGUUGCAGAUGCAUUGAGUCGAAAAUCUAUGUCUUCCUUCCUUGUUAUACAGAAACCAAUACUACUCGAUUUAAAAAAAUUAGAGCUUGAAAUUGUACCUAAAGGGAUGGUUAGUUCCUUAUCAUCUUUAGUAUUAAAACCCGUACUUCAUGACCGAAUCAAAGAGGCUCAGAAAGUGGAUAAGUAUUUGUCCAGGUUGCGAAGUAUGAUUGAUACUAAGAAGAGGCCUAACUUCUCUAUUGGUAACGAUGAAAUAAUUAGAUAUAAAGGCAGAUUGUGUGUUCCUUUUGAUGCUAACAUAAAGGGCGACAUUUUGGAAGAAGCUCACUGAAGUCCUUACUCAGUGCACCCGGGCAACACAAAAAUGUACAAAGACUUACAACUACACUACUGGUGGCCUAACAUGAAGAAAGAUAUAGCAAAGUUUGUGGCUGAAUGCCUCACUUGUCAAGAAGUUAAAAUGGAACAUCAAAGACCAGCAGGACUAUUGAAACCUUUACUGAUUCCAGAGUGGAAAUGGGAGCAUAUUACAAUGGAUUUUGUGCUUGGAUUGCCUAGAACACAAAGGGGAUACAAUUCCAUAUGGGUGAUUGUUGAUAGACUAACUAAAUCAGCCCAUUUUUUUCCAGUGAAGUCCACAUUCAACAUGGAGCAAUAUGCACAACAAUAUAUUAAAGAGGUAGUGAGAUUGCAUGGAGUGCCAGUGUCAAUAGUGUCUGAUAGAGAUCCGAAGUUUACUUCUGCAUUUUGGAAGAGUUUGCACAAUGCCAUGGGGACGAAGCUUGCAUUUAGUUCAACAUUUCAUCCACAGACUGAUGGACAACCCGAGAGAGUUAUUCAAAUACUUGAGGAUAUGUUAAGAGCUUGUGUUCUAGAUUUGAAAGGGAGUUGGGAUGAAAAAUUCCGUUGGUAGAGUUCACUUACAAUAACAACUAUCAAUCUACAAUUGGAAUGGCACCUUAUGAAGCACUAUAUGGGAGAAAAUGUAGAUCUCCAGUUCAUUGGGAUGAAGUUGGCGAAAUAAGUCUACUUGGGCCAGAGAUGGUGCAACAUACUGCUGAGACGGUGCAGAAGAUAAGGGAAAUAAUGAAGACGGCACAGAGUAGACAGAAAAGUUAUGCAGAUAAACGAAGAAGAGAUCUAGAGUUUACGGUUGGCGACCAAGUAUUUUUGAAAGUGGCUCCAUUGAAAGGCAUCAUGAGAUUUGGAAAGAAAGGAAAACUUAGUCCAAGAUAUGUUGGUCCGUUUGAAAUCCUUGAAAGAGUUGGUGAUAGAGCAUAUAGAGUAGCCUUACCUCCUUCCUUAUCUUGUGUUCACAAUGUUUUCCAUGUGUCUAUGUUGAAGAAGUACAUUUCAAAUCCCUCUCAUGUGUUGAGUUAUGAACCGUUGGAGUUUUCUGCAGAUUUGUCUUAUGAGGAGAAAAAAAUUCAAAUUAUUGAUAGAAAAGUCAAGGAGCAGAGAAAUAAAAAGAUUCCAUUAGUUAAGAUAUUGUGGAGAAAUCAAUCUAUUGAAGAAGCCACGUGGGAAAGAGAGGAAGAAAUGCAUAGCAAAUAUCCAGAAUUGUUCGGUACGUCAAAUUUCGAGGGCGAAAUUUUAUAAGGAGGGAAGAAUUGUAAUGCCCAAUCAAUCCAUACAUGGCCAAUAAUAAGCAUAUUGCAUCAAUGCAUAUAGUUAGAAUUCAUUAUUCAUGAUGCAUGAUCGCGACUACUUGCUACACAUGUGCCUUAAUUGUGUUAUAAUACGUGAUCAAAUACUUUUCUUAAAAUGUGCUAAUACAUGAUACAUGUUAUUGAACUUCUAUUUUAUGAUUUAACAUGAACUUAAGUGAUUUCUUGUAGUGAGAAGCUCAGUUUCUCAGUUAAGAAGGGAUCAAUGUGCUAAACGCUGUUAUAUUUGUGUUAAUUGCAGUUCUGCAUUUUAAUUACAUUUUAAUAUGAUUAAUUACAUAUGUAAUUACUUGAAGUAACUCAUAUUAGACUAAAACCAAAAGUAUGCAAAAGGGUGCAAUUUGAUUGGUUGGUUGACUAGGUUGCACAAGACCAUUCUGAUUUUGUUUACACUUGAUUAUAAUGAGUAAACAUCAGCUCCCUAUCUCAUCUCAAGCUGUAAAAACGUGGAGGAACCACAAGAAUCCAUCAAAUAUAAGCCUUCCAAUCAUCAUCCUCCAUUUGGCCUUGUUGGGAAUGGGUAGAUAAGUGAAGACUUUGUGUUUUGGUCUUCAUUUUCACUUGUCUUCUUCCAAAAACGACCAGACCUAUUCACUUAAGCUUCUCUUCUUAUUUCUUCACUUCUAUAUUCACAUAAGAGAAUAUCAAACCCUAAGAACUCAUAGAAGUAUAGCUAGAACAAGUUCUUCACCUUUUCUAGCUGAAAAUCCUAUGUUUUUAAGUUUGAAUUCAUCUCUAAUCAAGGCUUCUAGCACACCUUAUCUAAGACUGAUACUUUCACUUCAUAAACCAUAUUGAUUUUGAGGUAAGUUGAAGCUUUCAUUUGCUCAUCAUAAGAACCUAAUUAUGUGUGCUUUAAUGUGACUUUUGCUACGUGUUCUUCAUGAUGUUUGAAUGAUUGAUAAGUCAUAGCGAUAUGAAAGAAUAUGUUUUGAAAAUGGGAGUAUGGUACUUGAUUGAUGGUCGAGUAGGCAAGGGACGCGGGAGGAACCGGCGGACCCAACACAUGGUGGCAAAUACCUGAGGUCGAAAGACCAGUAUGGAAAACCCACAAUUAAAGAAAUUAAAUACGGCUAAUACCUGAGGUCCAAAAGGCCGGUAUGGAAACCCCGUAUUACCUAUUGGCCAAAUAUGAUAAACAGGUUCCGAAAACAAAAGCCUAUUGCUAUCAGUCAAGUACCACACUUCAAGGGUACCCGAUAAAGAGAAAGAUUUCAAAGAAAAAGGAUCACGAAUGAAGUUAUAUGUGAUAUUGUACAUAUUGAAUGAAUAACGUGUUAUGUGAUAUACUGCAAUUACAUCCGUUUCAACUUGCUGAGCCAUUAGCUCAUUAGGUUUUUAUGAUGCAGGUAAUGAUGUACAUGUUUAGAAGUUGACCUAGCCAAGAGCGGCC